UUAUCGCAAGUUCAGGACGGGUUUGAAAACAGAAGUUGAUGAACUUUUGAAGACCGAAAAGGAAGAGAAUCCAAUGCGCAUAGUUUAUAGUUUUGGCAUCUGUCAUGAACAUUCUGGCACAUUUGUAUUGACUUACAUAAGAAGUACAAAUCCACACCAUGAGUACAUUGGUCUUUACCCCAAAGGAUUCAGGUUCCGCAAAAAGAUGUUUGAGGAUAUUGACCGGCUUGUGGCAUAUUUUCAAAGGCACAUCGAUGAUCCACAAAAUGAUUCAGCACCUUCCAUUAGGUCAGUAGCUGCAAUGGUGCCAAUGCGAAGCCCUGCUACUGGUGGCUCAUCAGGAGCAUCUGUGGGUAGUGGCUGGGGUGGUUCAAACAGCGAGGGUGGUUGGAGAGGUCCCUCGUAUGAUAGGGACCGGUCUUCUACUCCUGGUUCCAGAACAGGUAUGAGAUUUUAAAUUCAGCUCUAGUUUGAGGUGAAUCUAAUUAUUUUGUUUGGAUUUCUUCUGCUAGUAUUGCGCCUGCUUUGACAUUAAAUAUAAUUAGUUAUCAUGAAUCCUCUUGUUAUCAACAUGUUGAUUGGUUCCUUCUUCUGUGCAUUUUGUUCUACAUCUACCUGUUCUCUUUGUCUGCAGUUCACAUAUCAUUCAACUAAUUGCUUCCGCAUGUCAUUUUUCUAGUUCUUUUUAUUCAAAAUUAACUGUUUCUUUAUUUUUACAGGACGACCUGAUUACAGAAAUAAUGGGAAUCGAGAUGAACACCCUAGUGGAUUGCCUCGUCCAUAUGGUGGUGGUCGAGGGCGUGGUCGCGGUUCUUAUAGUAAUAAUAGUAGAGGACACAACUCCAACCACGAAAGACGUGCCGGUGCAACCAGAUGGGGAUCUGCUGUGAAAGACGGGGAUGACAGUUUAAGCAACUUCCCAGGGGCUAAGGUUCAAAAUUCCCCUGGAAGAGAAGCAUUUCCAGGUGGUUGGGGAGGUGGAGCUAGUGGUGGUGACAAAAGUGGCUGGGGAGGUGGAGCUAAUGGUGGUGACAAAAGUGGCUGGGGAGGUGGAGCUAGUGGUGGUGACAAAAGUGGAUGGGGAGGUGGAGCUAGUGGUGGGGACAAAAGUGGCUGGGGUGCUGGUCCAAGCGAUGCUGAACAGGGAAACUCUGGUUGGGGAACUGGAUCCAAGAAAGCCGGAGACAAUGGAUGGUCUGGAAACUGACCGGGCGGAAUCCACAGAGCAUUCACAUUCAUCUGUAAUUUCUCUUUAAAUCCACUCAUUUGAAUGAUAAAAUGUGGAUUAUUAAUUUAUUAGAGUAAUUGUAGUUGAUCUUGACUAUGGAACUCUGCAUUUCGUUUUCACAUUAAAAUUUCGAUUAUAUGUUCAUCGAACGACAACUGUCGAAUAUGAUUUAUAGUUUACUAAUAAGAUAAGAGGCCUGGUUGCUCGAGCUGGUGCGGAGGGGAACCUCCCGCUGUACAGGCCAUGAUAAUUUUAUGGCAGAAUUUGAUCUACGUAGCCGACCCCAUUCAGUGAGAUAAAUCUUGAUUGUUGUUAUCUGAUGUGUGUAAUAUCAAAUUGAUAUGCUUAACUGACGUAUGACGUUUUCACAGUUGCAGCUUUUCUACCGAUGGAAGUACUAAAGCGCGGAGAACUUUAGCGAUCAUAAAGCCGGAUGGAUUGCUCGGUAACUACACAGAUGAUAUCAAGAGAACAAUUUCAGAAUAUGGUUUCAGCAUUGUCAAGGAACAGAUUGUUCAACUUGGCGAGGCGACUGUGAAAAGAUUUUAUGCAGAACACUCUUCAAAAAGCUUCUUUUCAAGCCUAGUUAAAUACAUGACAAGGUUCGUCCAUUUUAAGGCCAAACUCCGUUCCGCUGAGCAAUUUUUUUUCAUAUUGCUAAUGGAUUCGAUCAAUAAGCACACAUGUCUAGCUUCAUCACUAUGUCUGAUAAUGUUAUCGGUUCAUCCAUAUGAUUUCUGUUUAAUUGCAUGUUUAUAGUCUUUUAUCAUCUUUAAUCUUCUCUUUUGCUUCUCCAUAACUAUAAUCAGUGGACCAGUGUUAGUCAUGGUUUUGGAAAAGGAUAAUGUUGUUGCUGAUUGGCGCGCUUUAAUGGGUCCUACUGAUGCAAGCAAGGCCAAGAUUACUCACCCUCACAGGUUUCCAUAAACAUGUUUACUAAUCAAACUAAUUUUGCUUGUUUAAUCGAUUUCUCUAUGCUUAACUUGUUUAUUAAUUUGAACAGCAUUAGAGCAAAAUGUGGAUUGGACACUGAAAAAAAUUGUGUUCAUGGUUCAGACUCUACCAAAUCUGCACAAAGAGAGAUACUAUUUUUCUUCGACGAGCUCGCUCCAGGUGAGUAAUUUUACUCGAGAAUUCAUAAUAUAAAGAUACUUGCUUAUUUAAGUAUUCUUUUGAGAAAGAUUAUAUUCGAAUUAUCAUAAACCUUUGCCUCACCAAUUCUUAUGGCAGAUGCAAUUACAGAACACGAUGAAUUAAUGCGCAUAGUUUAUAGUUUUGGCAUCUGUCAUGAACAUCCUGGCACAUUUGUAUUGACUUACAUAAGAAGUACAAAUCCACACCAUGAGUACAUUGGUCUUUACCCCAAAGGAUUCAGGUUCCGCAAAAAGAUGUUUGAGGAUAUUGACCGGCUUGUGGCAUAUUUUCAAAGGCACAUCGAUGAUCCACAAAAUGAUUCAGCACCUUCCAUUAGGUCAGUAGCUGCAAUGGUGCCAAUGCGAAGCCCUGCUACUGGUGGCUCAUCAGGAGCAUCUGGUGCAGUAGCUGCUGGUGCAGUACCUUUAAUUUAAGAGUCCUAGGUCAGAAAAUAAUGCCUCGUUACGACUACAAAUCUUGACUCUCUAAGUAGCAACGGUACACGGAAAUUACACUUUGUUCUCGUGUUCUAAUUAUCUAAACUAAUUUUAUUGUUUUUCCUACUCCAUGACAUCAAACCAUUCUCAUAGCCUUAGAUAAACAUCGUGAGAAUAGAUAACGAUAUUUGAUACAGCUAUAUGUGGGAUUGAUAAAUCUUUUAUACUAUAACUGAUAUUAUCUUGGAUUUUUUUCCUAUUGUCCACAAGUUCAUGUAAUAUGAAGUGUAUCAAAAGACAUGGAAUCAAAUCAAAUUGAUGUAUGAAUUAUCGUUGUGUCAAUAACUAAUUUAUUGAAGAAAUAUUUAGUUUUGAUUGCAAGGUUGUCUCAAAUGACAUUGUAGUCUAUUUUGUGUUCAAAUUUAUGAUGUAUCAAACAAGAUUGUAUUAAAUGAUAUUGUGAAAAAUUAUGGUUUAUCAACAUCCAUGCUACUUGAUUAAACAAGAAGUGAAAACCCAACACUAAUAAGCAUAUCAUAAUCAACAUACACAUACAUAACAUCUCAAUUAAAUUUGAAUUAAUCGAAAACAAAAACAAAGUAAAAUAAAAAACACUUAAACCAUAACGCGUGAACCUUUCUAUCCAUCUAUCACCAUGACCCACAACAUACAUACAUCAAAUUAACACAAAGUGUAACAGAUUUCCGUCUAUACUCAUCUCAACCUUACACUCAAUUGAUUCACGAGGAAUGCUAAAUCAUUACAUGGAUUACCACAAAAAAACUCUCUUCCAAAAAAAUCACUCUAACUGAAUUCUUUCCCUCUCUCAAUUCACUUAUAAAUUUACAUCAAAUGUUUAGCAUCGGCCUUGACUUCAACACUAAUAGCAUCCAUUUUACGUCACUAAUGGAGGACGUAAACAUGUUUAGUCAUUUAUUUUUUUUAUCUUCACCUACUAGGAUAAAUUAUAUUACAAUAAAACACACUCAUAAUAUGGUCCUCUAAGCCAUCAUCAAAAGAAACAUCACACAAUCUAUUAUUAUGAAAUGCCAAGGAUUAUAAAAGAGCAUAAACUAACAUAAAUUUGAAUAAGUAUAUAUAGUCCAUAUCAUUUUCUCAUCUUCCUCAUUUUUAUGUAUUUGAUUAUUAAGCAAAAACGUAGACGUAGUGGACCUUUGAGAAUUGAGUCAAAAAGUAAGCGGAUUAAUACCUUCCUACUUUUCAUAACCAUAAAAUACCUCACAUAGUAUUUUAGGAUUAUUUUAUCUAUUUUUUAUUAUAUUAUAUUUGGUAUUUUGUGGUUGUGUUAGGUAUUUAACUGUAGUAGAGAUUUUAUGCGAAGCGAAAACGGAACAAAACAGCAAAAAUCGGAAGAAAAUGCCAAGACUGUGUCAUGGAUUUUCAGAACACCACAAAUUCACCCACUACAGCAAUACCUUGAAGGCUUUCUCCCACUUUUCUUCCAUUAUUCAUACUGAUUUUGUGGUGUUAAGUAAUCGAAAUUCCUCCUAUAAAUUAAUCAGUGGUUUAAGCUUUGGUGUUUAUCUUGAAGCAAGUUUUAUAUUGGCACAUUUAAUUUCCACGAGUUUUAUUUUUCUGUAUUGUAUUUAAAACUCCAAUUUUUAGCAAAUUACCAGUUUAUUUUUGAGGUUUUUUUAAUUUGAUUUCUGUUUCAAUUAUUAUUAAUUCAUUUUAUUGUUUGAAGCUUUACAUGUCAUUUUACUAAUUACCUUUAAUCUUAUUUAGUUGUUAUUUUAAUAUGCCAAAUUUAUAUGGAUUAUUCUUCUUAUCUUACCAUUUAAUUAUCAAAUUAUAUUUCAGUGCUAUACUACUUUCAUAAACAUAUAUAUUUGUUUACUGUUAUGUUAUUUCUAUUUAUGCUUGUUCACGUGUUCAAUAUGCUAGCUUAAAUUACGAGAGUCUGGAUGUGAGAACGUCAUACCGACGAUCUCACAUGAAUCACACUAUAACUGAUGUGUAACGGAGAAUUGUUUUUGGUCUUGAAAAUUGGUUUUCAUAACACGUUUGUGCAAUGCGAUGCAGUGCCAAAACGGAAGUCAUGUAUAGCACCUUUUCAGUAAGGGCAGGUCUGGUGGAGGUUGCAAAGCAGGUUUGGGUCUUAGUUCUGAGCAAUUCGUAUUAUGUCUAUCUGAUAGUUAAGCUGGUACGUAUGUUUGUCUAACCAAACCUUUUAUAUAUAAUCACACAAGACUUGCAUAUCAUUAGAAAAACAAACAUAAUGACAAAAAAAUAACAAAUAAAACAAAAAAAUUGGUUUUUUAUUAUCCAUUGUUAGGGUUUCGAAUUUUGAAAUUCGGAUAAAAUUUCAUUUGUUUGUUAUAAACCAUCAUGAUUUUUAUUUAUUUUUUAAUAUUAUAAUUAUAUAAUUUUUAUUAUUCUUUUUAAAUAAAUCUUAUUAUAUUAUUAAUUAUUUUAAAAAAUUAAAAAGUCAAAUUAAAUAUAUUUAACAUAAAACGUGAGGGAUAUUGAGAAAAAAAUUCUGAAAAAUUCAGUUAUUUGUUUAGUAUAGGUUUGGGAUGAAUAAUUAAAAAGAAUAUAUAAAAAAAAAUACAAUAAAUUACACGGUAAAAAAAGAAAAUUUUAUAGUAUCCCAACAAAGGAAAAUGGUCAAUAAUUUGGGUAAUUGACAAAAUGCACUACCAUUGAGACAACGAGGUGCCAAUCUAUAGUAUUGAUCUCUUUUAUUUCAAAACUUCUCAUUCAUAUUAUAUUUCCUUAGAAAUAGUUGUAUCUAGAUUUUUUCUUCAUACAGCACAAACUUUAACGUAACAAUUGGUACCAUAUAAUUAUUUUUAAUUAUGAUGUUUUUGUAAAUAUAGUUUAUGUGUACAGAUGCUCGGGAAAAAUGGGGUAAAUCACGUUAUGCAAUUUUUUCUAAUUCUUUUACUUCUAAAACCAGUGUUACUUGCAUCUUUUUGAUGCAUCCAUUCAGAUAAUUAAAUUGCCAUUUGUUUGUUAAUAACCCAUCAAUUGUGGAUAUGGUUUUUUAUUUUCUACACUAGACAGAUCCUAUAAUUCUUAUUUUAUAUAUAUAGAGAGAGAGGUGGGGGAGGAAGGAGGGAGACUUCCCACUCCUAACAUUUUCCUUUGUCUUUAUAUGAUUAUAUUAAAUUUAAACAGUAUACUACACAUCUUUAAAUAAAAUGUAAUGUAUGCAUAGUCCAUAUCACCAUGUUAUGUCUAAAUUUGCAUCAACCAUGAGAAGCCUAGAAACCCCGGGACUCGGAAAAACUAAAGGCAUGUUUGAAACACUUUUCAAUUUUAGUUCUUAAAAAUUUUUUUUUCAAAAUUAUUUUUAAAAAUUAAAAAAGAAAAUUAACAAAAAAUUUGUUUGAUAAACUAAUUUUUAAACACUGUUUUUGAAAAAUAUGAAAAUGAAAAAACUGUGUUUGAUAAUCUAUCUUUUAAUGUAUGUAAGAAGAGAGAAUAAAAUGUUAGUAUUAUGGUCAUUUACUUUUAAAUCUAUUUUAUUGUAUAAAGUAUUACAAACUAAAAAAUUAAUUGAUAUUUGGUCGAAUAACAAAUAAUUUGGGUUAAAUCAAUAUUUUAAUGUUUUAUGAAAUGAAAAACUUGUUGAUGUAACUAUCUUUUAAGUAUUUUAAGAAGAGAAUAAAAAUGUAUAUUAUUUGUUAUUUACUUUUAAAAUCUAUUUUAUUGUAUAAAAUAUUACAAACUUUAAAAAAAUUAAUCUGAUAUUUGGUCGAAAAUUACAAAUAAGGGUCUAAAUCUAAUUUUAAUUUACAAAUCACAUAAACCUUGUUUGUAAUAAGAUACAGAAAAAGAACAAAUAAAAAAUGGGAUUCCACGGUUUAUAAUAGAGAGAAAAAAUUUAUAAGUGAAAAUAAUUAAGAAACACAAAAAAAUUAAGUAAAAUAAAUAACAUAUUUUUGAAAGGUUAAUUAUACAUAAAAGCGCAUAAAUAAAAGAAAUAACAUACUCUUUAAAAUACAGUUUUUUUAUUUUAUUUUAAAAAUAUAAAAAUUAUUUAAAAUUACAUUAAUGCUAUUAUGAAAAUUAUAAAUUUUAUGUUUUUUUUUCAAUUUUUAAACUAAAAACUAAAAAGUACACAAAUUAAACAGUUAUCACUUUUUGCUUUUAAAAACUGAAAAAUAAAAAGAGUUUUUAAUAACACUUUUAUGAAACAUAUAUAUUCAACAAAUUUUUAAAGGUUAAAUUUUCAAAAACUAAAAAAGAGUUUUAAGAUACAUUUUCAAACAUACCAUCUCUGCGAUGCUUGGAGACUCUUUUUUUUAUAAAUUUAUUUAUUUUUUAAUAUAAUAAAUUUAUAAAUAAUUUAUUUUCUUUUCAAAUAAAAUCUUAUUUAUCUUAUAUCAUUAAUUUUAAUAAAUUAAGAAGAUCAAUAAAUUAUUUAUGCAUAAUUAAAUUUAAUAAUAGUCAAACAUAAAAAUAUAUCAUUUAUUAGAAUUACACUAAUUAUAAAAAGGUGUCUUAUAACUUGAAUGAGUCUAAAAUACUUAAAUGGGAGCAGUUGAAUCAUCACAAAUUUUAAACAGUGGCAGUGGCAUUAUUGGUUAAGUUUACAGUGGCAGGUUAUGUAGUUAACAGAUUCAGUUAAGUUAAGUUGUGUUUUAUCCAUUGACAGUUAAGUUUCUUACGGUAAUAGCGGGUUAGUUGAGCUUCAUACAUAACACAGUGUAACAUUCCACUGGGAAAAUUCUUCUCUCCUCUGUCAGUAAUCUCUCAGUCAAUUGUCACGCAGUUAGGCAGCAGUAAGCGCAUAUGAAAAAAAGGGAGAGUAGCGGUGAAGCCGGUGAAGUAAUCAGAGAAGUUCAAGCUAGUAGCAGCAGUAACGCCGCAUGAAAAAAGGAGAGUAAGCCGGUGAAGCCGACGUGAAGUAAUCAGAGAAGUCAGCUAGUAGCAGCAGUAAGCGCAAUGAAUAAAGGGGAGAGUAAGCCGGUGAAGCCGGUAGAAGUCAGAGAAGUCAAUGCAGUUACGCAGUAAGGCGCAAUGAAAGAGAGGGGAAGAGUAAAGCCGGUAAAGCCGUGACGUAUGUAGAGAAGUCAAGCAGCUAGCACAGUAAGCGCAAUGAAAAAAAGGGGAAGAGUAAAGCCGGUGAAGCCGGUGAAAGUAUUAGAGAAAGUCAAGCAGAGCUAGCAGUAAGCGCAAUGAAAAAAAGGGGAAGAGUAAGCCGGUGAAGCCGGUGAAGUAUAGGAAGUCAAGCAGUAGCAGCAGUAAGCGCAUUGAAAAAAGGGAAGAGUAAAGCCGGUGAAGCCGGUGAAGCCGUGGUGAAGUAUCAGAGAAGUCAAGCAGUAGAGUGUAGCGCAAUGAAAAAAGAGGGAGAGUAAAGCGUGAAGCCGUGAAGAUCAGAGAAGUCAGCAGAGCUUAGCAGUAAGCGCAAUGAAAAAAGGGGAAGAGUAAGUCGUGAAGCGUGAAGACAGAGAGUCAAGCAGUGCAGAGUAGCAUGAAAAGGAAAAGGGAAGCGUGAAGAUCGAGAGGCAAGGAGUCGCAUAAGCCAUGAAAAGGGGAGAAGUAAAGUUGGCGGCCGUGACCAUAGAAGUAGCAGUAGCAGCAAUAAGCUAUGAAAGGAAGAGUAAAACCGGUGAAGCCGAAGUGAGUCAAAGUAAGCGUGAGCGCGAAGAAGAGUAACGGUCGAGAAGCAAGAGUAGCAGAGCAUGAAAGGAGGUACCGGUAAGCCGAAGUAUCAAGAAGUCAAGCAGUGCGCUGUGGAAGAAAAAGGGAAUGGGGAGUAUAAAGCAAGCUUAGGAUAGCGAUGCAGGGAGAAAGCCGGGAUAGGCGUCGAGUACGAGUAACCAAUGAAAAAGGAAGAGUGGCCAAGUUCAGAAGUCAGCAGAGCAGUAGCGCAAUGAAAAAAAGGGGGAAGAGUAAAGCCGGUGAAGCCGGGAGUUCAGGAAGGUAACAGUAGCUAGGCAAAAAAGGAAAGAAACGGUGAGCGUGAGUACGGAGUCAAGCAGUAGCAGCAGUAAGCGCAAAAAAGGAGAGCGGUAAAGCCGUGAGUAUCAAGAAGUCGAGAGCAGCGUAACGCAUAAGGGGUAAGCGUGAAGCCGGUGAAGUAUCGAGAUACGCAGUCUAAGCAAGGGGGAUAAGGUGGCCGGAAGUACAGAAAAGUUCAAGCAUAGCACAUCUAAAGGAAUAACCAAGAGUGAGAGCAGAGGUUUCAGAGUAGAGCGACGAAUGUAAGGGGUAAGCCGUAGGGAGUAUCAAGUCCACAGUAGCGAAUAAGCGCAGAAAAGGAAGUCGAAGCGUAUCAAAGAAGUAGCAGACAGCAGUAACGCAAAGGAACCGUGAGCCGUAGAAGAAAGUCAGAGUAGAGCCGUAGGCAUAAAAAAGGGAGUAAGCGGGAAGCGGAAGUCGAGAAGUCCGCAGUAGUAGCCAAGAAGGGAGAAAACCGGGACGUGAAGUAUCGGAGUCGCAAGUCGCGCGAAGCAAAAAGGGAUAAAGCGUAGCUAAGUUCGGAGUCAAGCAGCAGAAGAUGAAAAAAAGGGGAAGAGUAAAGCCCGGUGCCGGUGAAGAAUCAAGAAUCAGCUAGACAGUAGGCAAGCAAAAGGAGAUUAAGCGUGAAGACGAAAGCAGUAAGAGCGCAGAAAGAGUAAAGCGUGAACCGUGAAGAAGAGAAGUCAAGCAAGUAGCACAAACGCAAUGAAGGGAUAAGCGGGCCCGGUGGACAAGAAUACAGUACAAUGCAUACAAGGGAGAGUUACGUAAGCCGUGAAGUAUCAAAAGCACAGAAGCAGUAAGCGCAUAAAAGAAGAGAAACCUGAAGCAGAAGUCAAAGCAGAGCAGCAGUAAGCCGUAAGGAAGAAGCGGUGACCGCUGAAGUAUCAGAGUCACAGUAGAGAGUAACGGCAUGAAAACGAAGAAGUCGUUGAGCCGGGAAGUAUCAAAGCACAGUAGCAGCAGUAAGCGCAAUGAAAAAAAGGGACGAGAAAGCGUGAGGCUGAAGUUCGAAAUCAAGGUAGAGCAAAGGCAAUAAAAUGAUAAGCGGUGAAGUUGGAGUCGUUAGCACCAAAGUUAAACGAUGAAAGGGAAACCGGUAAGCGAAGUAAUGAGAAGUAGCGAGCAGCGUAAGCGCAAUAAAGGAAGAUAAAGCGGUAAGGGAAGAUGAGAAGUCAGCAGUAGGUAUAAAAAAAGCCGGUGAAGGCCGGAGUUCAGGAAGUAAGAGUAGAGAUAACGCGAAGGAAGAGUAAGCCGAAGCCGAAGUUCGAGCAGCAGUACAGUAAGCGCAAUGAAGGAAAUAAACAGACCGGUGAAGAUCAGGAGUAGCAUAGACAGAACCAAUAAGAAGAAACGGAGUAUAAAGAAGCAUGCAGUGUAACCGAUAAAAAGGGGAAAGAUCCGACCGGUGAAAUCAGAAGUAAGCGUAGGCGAAGCAAAAGGAAGUAAGUCGGUGAUUUAGAGAGUUCAAUGCAAUAACAAUGAAAAAGAGGAAGAGUAAAGCCGUGAAGUCAAAAAGUCAAGCACGGUGGCAUGAAAGGGAAGAAGUAUAACGGAAGCCGGAACGUCAGAGAAUCAAGCAGUAGCAGCGUUAGGCUGAUAAAAGGGAGUAAAUGUGAAGGGACAGGCAAAUGAGCAGAAGCGAAUGAAAAGGGAAGAAGUAACCGUUGAAGCGUGGUGAAGUUAUAGAGAGUCAAGCAUAGCAGUCAGUAGGCAAUGAUAAAAAGGGGAAGAGUAAGGCCGGUGGAAGCCGCUGAAGUAUCAGAGAAGUCAAGCUAGUCUAGCAGCAGUAAGCGCAAUUGAAAAAGGGAGAGUAAAGCCUGAGCGUUGAAGUAUCAGAGAAGUCAAGCCAGUAGCAGCAGUAGCGCAAUGAAAAAAAGGGGAAGAGUAAAGCCGGUGAAGCGGUGAGUAUCCAGAGAAGUCAAGCAGUAGCAGCGUAAGCGAAUGAAAGAAGGGAAGAAGUAAAGCGGUGAAAGCCGGUGCAGUAUCAGAGAAAUCAAGCAGUAGCAUGCAGUAAGCGCAUCUAUGAAAAAAAGGGGAAGAGUAAAGCCGGUGAACGCCGGUGAAAGUAUCAGAGAAGUCAAGCAGUAGCAGCAGUAAAGCGCAAUGAAAAAAAGGGAAGAGUAAACCCGGUGAGCGGUGAAGUAUCACGAGAAGUCAAGCAUAGGCAGCAGUAAGCGCAAUUGGAUAAAAAGGGGAGAGUCAAGCCGGUUAGGGCCGGGUAAGUAUCAGAGAGUCAAGGCAGUAGCAGCAGUAAGCGCAAUGAAAAAAGGGGAAGAGUAGCGGUGAGCCGGUGAAGUUAUAGAGAAGCAAGCGAUAGCAGCAAGUAAAGCCGCAAUGAAAAAAAGGGAAGAGUAAAGCCGGUAGCGGUUGAGAGUUAUCAGAGAAGUUCAAGCAGUAGCAAAGCAGUAAGGCGCAUUGAAAAAAGGGGAAGAAGUAAAGCGCGUGAAGCGUAUCAGAGAAAUCAAGCAGAGUAGCAAGCGUAAGCGCCAACUGAAACAAGGGAAGAGUAAAGCCGGUUUGAGCCUGUAAAGUAUCAGAGAAGUCAAGCAGUAGCACAGUAAGCGCAAUGAAAAAAGGGGAAGUAGAAGAGGUAAAGCCGGGAAGUAUCAGAGGAAUCAAAGCAGUAGCAGCAGUAAGCGCAAUGAUAAAAGGGAGAGUAAAGCCGGUGAAGCGUGAAGUAUCAGAGAAUCAGCAGUAGCAGCAGUAAGCGCAAUAUGAAAAGGGGAGAGUAACUUGAAAGCCGGUGAGUAUCAGAGAAGUCAAAGCAGUAGCAGCAGUAAGCGCAAUGAAAAAGGGGGAAGAGUAAAGCCGGUGAGCCGUGAAGUAUCAGAGAAGAUCAGAGCAGUAGCAGCAAGUGAAGCGCAUGAAAAAAAGGGAAGAGUAAAGCCGUGAGGUGAAGUAUCAGAGAACGUCAAGAGUAGCAGCAGUAAGCGCAAUGAAAAAAAAGGGAAGAAGUAAAGCCGGUGAAGCCGCUUGAGUAUCGAGAAAGUCAAGCAGUAGCAGCCGUAAGCCGCAAUGAAAAAAAGGGGAAGAGUAGCGAAGCCCGGUGAAAGAUUCAGAGAAGUCAAGCAGUAGCACGCAGUCAAGCGCAAUGAAAAAAAGGAAGAGUAGCCGGUGGAAGCCGGUGAAGUAUCAGAGAAGUCAAGCGUAGCAGCCGUAGCGCAAUGAAAAAAAGGGGAAGAGUAAAGCCGUGAAGCCGGUGAAGUAUCAGAGAAGUCAAGCAGUAGCAGCAGUAACGCAAUGAAAAAAGGGAGAGUAAAGCCGAUGAAGCCAGUGGUAUCAGAGAAGUCAGCAGUAGCAGCAGUAAGCGCAAUGAAAAAAGGGGAAGAGUAAGUCGGUGAACCGUUAGUAUCAGAGAAGUCAAGCACAGUAGCAGCAGUAAGCGCAAUAAAAAGGGGAGAGUAAAGCCGAUGAAGCGUGAAUAUCAGAGAAGUCCAAGCUAGUAGCAGCGUUAAGCGCAAUGAAAAAAAAGGGGAGAGUUAAAGUUCGGUGAAGUUAGAGAAGUCAAGCAGUAGCAGCAGGAAGCGCAAUGAAAAAAAGGGAGAAGUAAAGCCGGUGAAGUAAGUAUCAAGAGAAGUAAGCAGUAGCAGCAGUAAGCGCAAUGAAAAAAAAGGGGAAGAGUUAAAGCCGGUGAAGCCGGUAAGUAAUCAGAGAAUUCAGCAGGUAGCAGCAGUAAGCGCAAUUGAAAAAAAGGGGAAGAGUAAAGCCGGUGAAGCGUGAAGUAUCAGAGAGAAGUCAAGCAAGUAGAGCAGUAAGCGCAAUGAAAAAAAGGAAGAGUUUUAAAUCCUUGAAGCCCGGUGAAGUUAUUAGAGAAUCACGCCAGUCGAGCAGCAGUAGCGCAAUGAAAAAAAGGAAGGUAAGCCGGUGAAGCCGCUGAAGUAUAGAGAAGUCAAGCAAAGUAGCAGCAGUAAGGCAAUGGAAAAAAAGGAAAGCAGCAAGAGUAAGCCGAGUGACGUAUCAGAGAAGUCAGCAAGUAGCAGCGUAAGCGCAAUGAAAAAGGGGAGAGUAAGCCUGAAGCCGGUGAGUACAGAGAAGUCAAAAGCUAAGUAUUUAGCAAGCGUAAGCCAAUGAAAAAAAGGAAGAGUUUUAAGCCGGUGAAAGCCGCGUGAAGUUCGAGAAAUCAAGCAAGUAAAUAGUAGCGCAGUCAAGCGCAAUGAAAGAAAGGAAAGUAAAGCCGGUUGAAAGCGGUAAAGUUCAGAAAGUAAGGCAGUUGCAGCAGUAAGCGCAAUGGAAAAAAAAGGGAGAGUAAACCCGGUGAGCCAGUGAAAGUAUCAGAGAAAGAAGUCAAGCAGUAGGCAGCAGUAAGCGCAAUGAUAAAAAGGGGAGAGUAAAGCCGGUGAAGCCGGUGAAAGUAGCAGAGAAGUCAAGCAGUAGCAGCAGAUAACGCAAUGAAAAAAAGGAAGAGUAAAGCCGUGGAAGCCGGUGAAGUAUCAGAGAGUCAAGCACUAGCCAGCAGUAAGCGCAAUGAAAAAGGGAAGAGUAAAGCGGUCUAGGCGGUGAGUAUCAGAGAAGUCAAGCAGUAGCCAGCGAUAAGCGCAAUGAAAAAGGGGAAAGAGUAUAGCGGUGAAUAUCCGAGAAGUCAAGCACGGGUAGCAGCAGUAGCGCAAUGAAAAAAAGGGGAAGAGUAAAGCCGGUGAAGCCGCGUGAGUAUCAGAGAAGGUCAAGCAGUAGCAACUUAGCCAAUGUGGAAAAAAAGGAAGAGUAAAGGCGCGGUGAAGCCGGUGAAGUAUCAGAGAAUCAAGCGUAGCAGCAGUAAGCGCAAUUUGAAAAAGGGGAAGAGUAAAGCGGUGAAGCGGUGAAGUAUCAGAGAAGUCAAGCUAGCAGCAGUGCGCCAAUGAAAAAGGGAAGAGUAAAGCCAGGUGAUGUUAUCAGGAAGUCAAGCAAGUAGCGCAGUAAGGGGCGCCAUAUGAUAAAAGGGGAAGAGUAAAGCCGGUGAAGCCGGUGGAAACGUAUCAGGAGAAAUAGUAGAGCAGUAGCAGCAGUAAGCGCAAUGAAAAAAGGGGAAGAGUAAAGCCGUUGAAGCGCGGUGAAGUAAUCAGAGAGUCAAGCAGUAGCAGCAGUAUAGCGCAAUGAAAAAAAGGGGAAGAGUAAAGCCGGUGAAGCCGCUGAGUACAGAGAAGUCAACAGUAGCAGCAGUAAGCGCAAUGAAAAAAAGUGGAAGAGUAAAGCCGGGUUGAGAUCGAGACGUCAGCAGUAGCCAGCAGUAAGCGCAAUGAAAAAAAGGGGAAGAGUAAAGCCUGUGAAAGCCGGUGAAGUAUCAGAGGAAUCAAGCAGUUAGCAGCGGUAAGCGCGCAAUGAAAAAGAGGAAGAAUAAAGCCGGUGAGCCGGUGACAGUAUCAGAGAAGUCAAGCAGUAGCAGCAGUAGCGCAAUGAAAAAAGGGGAAGAGUAACAGCCGGUGAAGCCAGUGAAGUAUCAGAGAGUCAAGCAGUAGCAAGCAGUAAGCGCAAUGAAAAAAAAAGGGGAAGAGAAAAGCCGGUUGAGCCGGUGAGUAUCAGAGGAAAGUCAGCAGUGGCAGCAGUAAGCGCCAUGAAAAAAGGGGAAGGUAAAAGCCGAUGAAGCCGGUGAAGUAUCAGAGAAGUCAAGCCAGUAGCAGCAGUUAGCGAGGAAGAAAGGGGAAAGAGUAGUCGGCGUGAAGUUAUUAGAGAGUCAAGCGAGUAGCAGCAGUAAGCGCAAUUGAAAAAAAGGGAAGAUAAGCCGGUGGAGCCGGGUGGAAGUAUCAGAGAAGAUCACAGCUAGUCGUAGCAGCAGUAAGCGCAAUGAAAAAAAGGGGAAGAGUAAAGUCGGUGAAGUAGAGGAGUCAGCAGUUCUAGCAGCAGUAAGCGCAAUGAAAAAAAGAGGAAGAGAAGUGUGAAUAUCAAAGAAGUCAGCAGUAGCAGCAGUAAGCAGCAUGCAAAAAAGGAGAGUAAGGGUGAAGCCGGUGAAGUAUCAGAGAAUCAAGCCAGGAGCAGCAGUAAAGCGCAGAUGGAAAAAAAAGGGGAGAGUAAAAGCCGGUCUGAAGCGGUUGAAGUAUCGAGACAAUCAGCUAGCAGCCAGUAAGCGCAAUGAAAAAAGGGGAAGAGUAAAGCCGUAGAAGCGGUGAAGUAUUAGAGAGUCAACAGUAAAAUUGCUGCAGUAAGCGCAAUGAAAAAAAGGGGAGGAGUAAAGCGGUGAAGCGCUGAAGUAUCAGAGAAGGUCAGCAAGUCAGCAGCAGUAAGCGUAAUGAAAAAGGGAGAAAGUAAAGGCCGGUGGAAGUAUCGAAGAAGUUAAGCAAGUAUAGCAGCAGUAAGCGCAAUGAAAAAAAGGGAGAGUAAAGCCGGCUGAAGCCGGUGAAGUAUCAGAGAAGUCAAGCAGUAGCAGCAGUAAGCGCAAUUGAAAAAGGGGAAGAGUAAAGCGUGAAGCGGUGAAGUAUCAGAGAAAUCAAGCCAAGUUGCAAAGAAAAAAAAAAAAAAAAAAAGCAGUUAAGCGCAAUGAAAAAAAGGGGAGAGUAAGCCGGUGAGCGCGGUGAGUAUCAGAGAAGUUCAAGCAGUAGCAGCCAGUUAAGCGGCAAUGAAAAAAAGUGAGAGUUAACCGGGUGAAGCCAGUGGAUCAGAAGAAGUCAAGCAGUGGCAGCAGUAGAGCGGCAUGAUAAAAAGGGGAAGAAGUAAAGCCGGUGAAGCCGGUGAAGUAUCAGAGAGUUUUCAAGCAGUAGCAGCAGUAAGCGCGAUUGAAAAAAAGCGGGAGAGUAAAGCCGGUGAAGUCGGUGAGUAAUCAGAGAAGUCAAGCCGUUAGCAGCAGUAAGCGCAAUGAAAAAACAAGGGAGGAGUAAGGCGGUGAAAGCGGGAAGUAAUCAGAGAAUUCAAGCAGUUAGCACAGUAAGCGCAAUCCGAAAAAGGGGAGAGUAAAGCCGGUGAGCCGGUGAAGUAUCAGAGAAGUCAGCUAAGUAGCAGCAGUAAGCGCAAUGAAAAAAGGGUAAAGAGUAAAGCCCGGUUGAGCCGGUGAAGUAUCAGAGAAAGAGAAAAUAUAUCCUCCAGAAGAAACUAUAAUCCGCCAAGAGUUACAGCGCCAAAAGAGUGCUAAAAGAGUUACAAGACUGUCAACCAAAAAAAACGUCUGGAAUGAAAAAGAGUGAGGUUUGUAAAAGAUGCAAUCAAAGCUUUCAUAUGGAAUAGGCACUAGUAAGGGCAUAGAAAUGGUUGUAAAUGAAGAGAGAAAGAUGAAAACAAAGCGGAAAGGUGUAAUGCUAGAGAAACAGGUCCAAUCCAGCAAGAAGAAGACAGAAUGAACAAAGGGCAAGGGUAAAUGCUACAGAAACAGGUGUCAAAUCCGCAAAGAGAACACAGAUGAAAACAAGGGAAGGGCAAGCUGAAAUGUGAUACUCAAAUUAACCUGCAUGUUCGCAUGUCAGCUUUUAUUUCAUUGUUUUCAUUUUGUAUGGAGAUAUGAUGUUUCAUUUCUUUUUUCAUAUUUUGGAUAUUACAAAUUCAUUGGAACGUUUUCUUUCUUCCAUUUUUACAUUCUUUUAUACUCUUUCUGUUAUAUUAAACAUUGUAAUGCUACCAAUUUGAUAUUACAUAAUUGUUCUUAAUAUGUAUAUUCGCCAAAUCAUGAGAAUCUCUUUUCUCAACUUUUCCAUUUCAUUAUGCGUCUUGACUUUGAAAUUAUCUUUCUUCAAUGUAUUUAUGGAGAUCACAAGAUGCAAACAAAUGUAAUUGAUUACAAAGAGACUAGGCUGAAGAUUAAUUUGAGCCUAUUGCUUCCUUCUGAGAAAUAUUAUGGACAGAGACGCAUGACCGAUAUAUUUCACAUGGAAUGCCUUAUAGCACAAGAGUUCUGAUGUUGAAGUAAAUUCAUACGGACGGAUUACUCAAUUGAAUCACAAUAUUAACUAUGUGUACGAGAAUUGUGUUUUGGGUCUGAAAAUUUUAUUUGUAACACGUUUCUUGUGCAAUGCGAAUGCAGUUGCCAAAACGGAAGUCAAUGUAUAGCACUUUCAGUAGGCAGGUCUGUGGGAGCGUCUGCAACAGGUUUGGGUCUAGGUUCUGAGCAAAUCGCAUUAUGUCUAUCUGUAGUUAGCUUGGAUGAUAUGUUUGAAUUUAGAACUGCUCUUUGUUUUUGACAUAACAUAAUGAUUAAAAGGUUUUGUAUUUGUCUGCCUCUUCUACAAACAUGGCUUCAUAGUCUCAUCAGAAACCCACCAGAAAGAGGCUNAGGAACCACAUGAAGAAGUUGAAUAAUUUUCCAAGCAUUACCCCCUACACUAAAUAUUUCGACUUUGUUGGGACUCAAAGAUAGAAUCUUAUAAGUAUCGGUUGAAUUAUCAUAACCAAAUGAAAAGCGGGAAGACCUGCGAUAGUCAUAUGCAUUUUGGUGAGGAUUGGAGUGAUGUCCAAAGUAGACAGAAAAUGUGUGGGCGGCUGGGUUCCAUAAUUGAAACCAGGUGUAUUGAAGAUCUGUUGAAGAAAUAACACUGAAACAUAUCAAUCCAUUGCAGGAACCAAUGAAUUCGUAGCAAUUGUCGACGCUGGCUGAGAUGUAUUGUUUGGUGUACUUUAUCAUGGAAGGAUUGUUUAGUAAAGUAUUGAGGGGAUAGGGUUGGAUAACAGAUUCCUGAGACACGCCUAAGAUUUGUGUGAGAUUCUUUUUUUUUUUUGAACGUUGAAGAUGCAGUUUGAUAAAUUUUGGAUCGGAGAUGAUGGCGUUCCAUGCUUUGGUCACGCAUCUCAGUUGCGUCAAAGAUCUAACCGGAAGGUAUGACAGAACUUGUAAGAUGAGUUCUUCGGGAAGGAAUAAUAGAUUGCCGUUGGAUUUCAUCACAACUUGCGCACUCUUAAAACUGAAAUAGAAAUAGAAAGCUGAACCCUAAUAAACGUAAACAAGCUGUUACUCAUUUAAAUAGGGUUUCUUAAAAUGUUUUUUUUAUAUGUUUGUAUCCUUUAAUUUUUAUGUGAGCCCAACCAACAUGCAAAUUCGCCUUUUUGUUUUCUAUAUUUUUUUAAACCAUUCUAAGGAAUACACUAGUGGUAUUAUUUUAAGAUUUUAAAUAAUAUUAUAUAUUUUAAUUUNUUUUUUUUAUAUGUUUGUAUCCUUUAAUUUUUAUGUGAGCCCAACCAACAUGCAAAUUCGCCUUUUUGUUUUCUAUAUUUUUUUAAACCAUUCUAAGGAAUACACUAGUGGUAUUAUUUUAAGAUUUUAAAUAAUAUUAUAUAUUUUAAUUUUUAAUAUCUAUAAAAUUUUACAUAAAUUUUUAUUAUAGAAAGCGAUACAGAACCAUAUAUAAAUAAAAAUAAAAGCUUACAAAAUAUAGAAAAAGUAAUCGAGCGUGUAUAUAGACCAAUAUAUUUAGCAAAAGUCCAAGUCAAAACAUCAAUAAAAAAUUGCCUAACCACAAAAAAAAAAGGAAAAACUAUUACAAAUAUAUUCAAAUAAUAAUGACAAAUAAAUUCAAAUUACCUCAUUUUUUAUAUUACGUUCAUUCCUUACAAACUUUCAUAUUCUAAAUCAUAUUUAAUGAUGUUUUUAUGUCAACACUAUCAAAUAUAUUAUUGAGUUUUGAUGUCUACCAUAAUUUAUAUCUAAAUAUUUUGUGAUUCAAAAUUGAAAUUUAUUAAAAUAAAAUUAAAAACAAAUACUCUAUUUACUCGUAAAUUACUUUUUCUGUUCAUCAUGUCUCCCUUUUUCUAGAAAAAACAAAUACUCUAUUUACUCGUAAAUUACUUUUCCCUUUUUCUAGAAGCUAAAUAAUCCCCGAAGCAAAUUACUCAAACCCUAGCCGCAUAACAUUUAAAAAAAAAAUCUCAACAUCAACCACAAUCAACUAUAAUUAGUCUGAAAUCCUAAAGCCUAGGAGAAAAAUAGGGGCUUCGGUGGUGAGAAGAUUGAUAUGAAAGGAAUAAGUCUCACCGGAGCUUCGCAACUCCGGCGAGAUCCCGACGGUCGAAGAAAUACCUCAGGUAAAGGAUUGCGACUCUUACUCUUUAGCUCCAAGUCCUCGACUUCUUCUCCCCUUCUUCUUCAAAUCUUCACCCUCUACUCGUCAAAGCGCUUUUUCUAAUGAACUGCGAUUUCGUCCAGGUUGAUUGAGCUUUGGUGUGUAGGUUGGGAUGUGAUUUCAGCAGGGUGACGGUGCCAGAAGGGAGAGGCCUUUCAAUGAAUGAGCGCUCCCUUUUAUAGAGUUCAAUACGAGGUUCAAUCCGCUCCUCCUUCAUGAGCUGGCAAAUCUUUGGAUGAAUCAAUCCGUUAGCCAAAAGAAUCUCGUCCAGAUUUGGUGGUCCUCCCUUUUGACGUGGACCCCAAAAUGAAGGUAUUAAGGUUUAAGCUUUGUCUGUAGCGAAAUCUCUCAAACACGUUGUCUAUUUUGAGUUUUUUAUUCACUGCCGUGAAAGAUCUAUAUGUCACCGUAAGAACUUUGUUUUUACUGUCACGUAAUUCUUGAAUUUUUCGCAGGUUUUGGGUUAACUGAUGCCAUGAGGAAAAGACACUCACUUAAAUGGCCGUUUGGACUGUUGUGAAUGGUGAACUGACAUGACAGAAUACUAUUUGGCCAGUUCAGUUACCACUGAUGCACUGCAGGUUAUUACCAUGAAUUAAUGGUGAACUGACAUGACAGAAUACUAUUUGGCCAGUUCAGUUACCACUGAUGCACUGCAGGUUAUUACCAUGAAUUCACACAUUGAUGCAGGGUGGUAAACUCUUCAUGUUGCAGAGUGGUGGUGACUUAAAUGGUCAAGCGGAGAUUGAGGCCGCUUGCGAGUCUGUAGCCCGUGUACGUCCAGCCUUCAGUAAACAGUUCAGAACAUGAGGUUAUGUUCUUAUUAUCCUCGCACUCAUUGAUUGAAUCAUUGCUGAAUUGUGGUAUGCAUUAUCUGUUUGGAUUGCGGACCCUGCAUUGGUAUGCUCUAACACCGUCCUCAUCUGUUCAUGAUUUGCUUUGCUUUGACUUAUGCCUUUCUUGCUUAUCAUGUUAAGCUUGUUCGUCGCAGACUUGCAGGAUUCAUAUUGGUGGCAUGACGAAUUCUUAUUCACUGCCUUGGUUGUGAAAGCGGCUUUUGUGUUCUUUUGGCUUAUGUUACCGUAGAAUUUGCAGCAAUUGGUGAUACUAUUCCGUCUUACAAUACCAAUCCAUUGUUGACUGGUUCUUCAUGUCUUGUUGACUUAGUUUUUUUUGUUUUGAGCUCUGCAAAGCACAUGUUGUUAUGACUGUUGAGUUGGUAUUGACGACAUCGCUACCUUUGAGCUAACUCAUUGCUUCUCAUAGCCCUUGAUUUGGGUUGAUCCGAAAACUGCAUAGGCUAGGUUUGUUGGCUUCAAAUUUGAGCUAACUCAUUGCUUCUCAUAGCCCUUGAUUUGGGUUGAUCCGAAAACUGCAUAGGCUAGGUUUGUUGGCUUCAAUGCAGGUUUUGCUUUAUUUCCUGCAACAUAUAUGAUAUUAAGGAUGAUGAUGCCUCAGUUUAGAUGCCACGAUAUGCUGCUGAUUUAUGUUUCUGUUGUGAGAAAUGCAGGUUUCUAGGUUGCUUAAGAUUUGCGCUGUCUUGUGUGACUCAUGCUGGCACAAUACUACUUGAGGCCUCUUUUCAACCAAACUUUCCAUCUUUAGGAAAUAACCAUACCAUUAAGUCGAAGGAAAUGACAAGGAAAUGAUGGUGUUGCAGGUGAAACAGAUAUUUGCUGUGAUGAACUUUGUUAUUGACCUUAUGUGUGGUUUUGUAUGUGUUGUCAUGAUGCUUAGGUAAGGUACUUGGUCAUUGUGUGUCAACAUGUGAAUUGGUUUCUGGUUGAGUAUGCUGCUCAUGCUGCAGUUUGAUGAUCACCGUUUUGCAGGACAUGGGAUUUACGGUGCGGAAGGCCAUGGCAUGCUGCAGAUCUAAUGCAUCUGUCUUGGAUGCUGAUGCAGGCUGGACUGUUGAAGAUGUUCCUUAUAGUAACAGAGUUGCUUUGGCUGGUUUAGAUCAAUUUAUCACCAGGAAUGCCACUUUGACAAAUGAGAAAGAAGUUGAUGCACACCCUAUUCGUGCUAUGAAGUUUUCUGUUGCCUGUUGUGUGUGUUGCUGUUCAGUGCACGGUUGAUUUAGAUUCAAAGCUUGUUGAAGGUCUCAAGCGUCUUCCUAAGUCAGAUCCUAUGGUUGUUUGAUACGCUAUGACUAUGCUAGCUAUUCUAAAAAUCAAUUUGUACUUAGCCUGAUACAAUUUGAAUAAGUAUAUAAUUGAAGAGGAACUGACUUCAAUCCGGGGAAACCAAGCUUUCAACAUAGUUAUGCGGAUACAUCCACUUGAAGUUGCUCAAUCUAAUUUUUUCUAUUGUAUUAUCACUCCAAUUAUAUAGAAUCACUUCCAAUCCACGCCGACGACUAGCUAGUACUAGUGCGAUGCCAUCCUCAUAAAGGCAUACUGGGCCAGAAAAUAUUUAUAUUUAAUACGAAUAUCCAAAUCCUGAUAGCUUAUUUUUAGUAAUUGAGUCCAUGACUUCUCAAUUCCAAAUUCCUUCAUCUUCCAUAUAAUAAAAUGAGUUUUCUGAGUAUGGUGACAAAAACAAAGACAGUCCCCCAAAACAUAAAUAGUUGGCAAAUGAAGUGGAACUUCCACAAAAUCUUGAGGUGGAAGCAACUCGCGAUAUGCCUCUGUACCGAGAUUCAUCGAGAUAAUCACGAUAUGCUCGACAAUAUCUCGAGCCAAGAAGUUUAUAGUGUCAUUCAAAUACAAAUCUUCAUUGAAAAGCCGACGUUUUCUUGGACACGUUGCCAAUGGUCUAAAGGAAUCACAUGAAGAAGUUGAAUAAUUUUCCAAGCAUUACCCCUGCACUAAAUAUUUCGACUUUGUUGGGACUCAAAGAUAGAAUCUUAUAAGUAUCGGUUGAAUUAUCAUAACCAAAUGAAAAGCGGGAAGACCUGCGAUACUCAUAUGUAUUUUGGUGAGGAUUGGAGUGAUGCCCAAAGUAGACAGAAAAUGUGUGGGCGGUUGGGUUCCAUAAUUGAAACCAGGUGUAUUGAAGAUCUGUUAAAGAAAGAACACUGAAACAUAUCAAUCCAUUGCAGGAACCAAUGAAUUCGUAGCAAUUGUCGACGCUGGCUGAGAAUAAUUGUUUGGUGUACUUUAUUAUGGAAGGAUUGUUUAGUAAAGUAUUGAGGGGAUAGGGUUGGAUAACAGAUUCCCGAGACACGCCUAAGAUUUGUGUGAGAUUCUUAUUUUUUUUGGAACGUUGAAGAUGCAGUUUGAUAAAUUUUGGAUCGGAGAUGAUGGCGUUCCAUGCUUUGGUCACGCAUCUCAGUUGCAUCAAAGAUCUAACCGGAAGGUAUGACAGAACUUGUACGAUGAGUUCUUCGGAAAGGAAUAAUAGAUUGGAAAGGAAUAAUAGAUUGCCGUUGGAUUUCAUCACAACUUGCGCACUCUUAAAACUGAAAUAGAAAUAGAAAGUUGAACCCUAAUAAACGUAAACAAGCUGUUACUCAUUUAAAUAGGGUUUCUUAAAAUGUUUUUUUUACAUGUUUGUAUCCUUUCAUUUUUAUGUGAGCCCAACCAACAUGCAAACUCGCCUUUUUCUUUUCUAUAUUUUUUUAAACCAUUCUAAGGAAUACACUAGUGGUAUUAUUUUAAGAUUUUAAAUAAUAUUAUAUAUUUUAAUUUUUAAUAUUUAUAAAAUUUUACAUAAAUUUUUAUUAUAGAAAGCGAUACAGAAUCAUAUAUAAAUAAAAAUAAAAGCUUACAAAAUAUAGAAAAAGUAACCGAGCGUGUAUAGAGACCAAUAUAUUUAGCAAAAGUCCAAGUCAAAACAUCAAUAAAAAAUUGCCUAACCACAAAAAAAAAGAAAAAACUAUUACAAAUAAAUUCAAAUAUAUUCAAAUAAUAAUGACAAAUAAAUUCAAAUUACCUCAUUUUUAAUAUUACAUUCAUUCCUUACUUAAUGUGAGAGUUGAAUCACCAAAAUUUUAAACAUGAUUUAGUGUACAGUGGCAGUUAUUAGGUUAAGUUUACAGUGGCAGCAGUUAUUAGGUUUACAGUGGCAGCAGUUAUUAGCUAAAUAAUCCCUGAUACAAAUAACAUUUCUGAUUUUGAAUGUGAACUUUUCUUUUUAAAUUCCUAGUCUGCUUCUAAUUGCUUUUGAGAACUUUAACUAUUAGCCUGCUACCAUUAUAACAAACAAAACCUUAUGUUCCUGCAGGAUAUAACAUUUCCUAUCAUAAACCAACUCUAAGUUCAAACCUAAAUUGGCUCUCAAAUUGCUAACAUAAAUUGGCUCUCAAAUUGCCGACGCCACAAGGUCAUGAAGGCCAUGGUAACAAUGAUUGACCAUGGACAUGCUACUAAGUAACCAAAAUCGUUGCCUGAUAAUAAUGAUGUAAUCACUGGAAACUCAAAGGCCAAUAUAGCGAAAGUCAGGGCCAUAGUGAUUAGGAUUAGUGUUGGGAUCCUUAAAAGAAUAAGUAUUCCUAAUUACUAAUUCAAAUAAACAACCAAGCAAACCCUUUUUUUAAAAUUAACCUGAACUUCAAUAAAUUAAAAUAGAAUCUUCGAUAAAAAACUGAAAUUAUCUUGAAAAAAGGUUAAUGAUUAUGAGCAAGUGAAUGCUUAAAUCCAUCAGUGCAAAUGAGAACAAACCAUGAAUGAUGAAGGUUUUAAGGUUGUGAAGUUGUCCAAAGAAAUUAAGACAUGAUUGGGGGUUGUGAAGCUUGGAUCCAGUGAGGAUACUUAAGCUUUGAGUUUAUGCAUCAUGUCCGAAAGUUUUGAACUGUCCGGACAAAAUUGGAGUAUGACAGCCAUAUGUAUUUUGGUGAGGAUUGGAGUGAUGCCCAAAGUAGACAGAAAAUGUGUGGGCGGGUGGGUUCCAUAAUUGAAACCAGGUGUAUUGAAGAUCUGUUAAAGAAAUAACACUGAAACAUAUCAAUCCAUUGCAGGAACCAAUGAAUUCGUAGCAAUUGUCGACGCUGGCUGAGAUGUAUUGUUUGGUGUACUUUAUUAUGGAAGGAUUGUUUAGUAAAGUAUUGAGGGGAUAGGGUUGGAUAACAGAUUCCCGAGACACACCUUCUUAUUUUUUUGGAACGUUGAAGAUGCAGUUUGAUAAAUUUUGGAUCGGAGAUGAUGACGUUCCAUGCUUUGGUCACGCAUCUCAGUUGCGUCAAAGAUCUAACCGGAAGGUAUGACAGAACUUGUACAAUGAGUUCUUCGGGAAGGAAUGAAGGAAUAAUAGAUUGCCGUUGGAUUUCAUCACAACUUGCGCACUCUUAAAACUGAAAUAGAAAUAGAAAGUUGAACCCUAAUAAACAUGCUGCAGUUUGAUGAUCACCGUUUUGCAGGACAUGGGAUUUACGGUGCGGAAGGCCAUGGCAUGCUGCAGAUCUAAUGCAUCUGUCUUGGAUGCUGAUGCAGGCUGGACUGUUGAAGAUGUUCCUUGUGGUAACAGAGUUGCUUUGGCUGGUUUAGAUCAAUUUAUCACCAGGAAUGCCACUUUGACAAAUGAGAAAGAAGUUGAUGCACACCCUAUUCGUGCUAUGAAGUUUUCUGUCGCCUGUGUGUGUGUUGCUGUUCAGUGCACGGUUGAUUUAGAUUCAAAGCUUGUUGAAGGUCUCAAGCGUCUUCCUAAGUCAGAUCCUAUGGUUCUUUGAUACGCUAUGACUAUGCUAGCUAUUCUAAAAAUCAAUUUGCACUUAGCCUGAUACAAAUAACAUUUCUGAUUUUGAAUGUGAACUUUUCUUUUUAAAUUCCUAGUCUGCUUCUAAUUGCUUUUGAGAACUUUAACUAUUAGCCUGCUACCAUUAUAACAAACAAAAUCUCAAUUAAAUUUGAAUUAAUCAAAAACAAAAACAGUAAAAUAAAAAACACUUAAACCAUAACGCGUGAACCUUUCUAUCCAUCUAUCACCCUGACCCACAACAUACAUACAUCAAAUUAACACAGUGUAACAAAUUUCCGUCUAUACUCAUCUCAACCUUACACUCAAUUGAUUCACGAGGAAUGCUAAAUCAUUACAUGGAUUACCACAAAAAAACUCUCUUUUAAAAAAAUCACUCUAACUGAAUUCUUUCCCUCUCUCAAUUCACUUAUAAAUUUACAUCAAAUGUUUAGCAUCGGCCUUGACUUCAACACUAAUAGCAUCCAUUUUACGUCACUAAUGGAGGACGUUAACAUGUCUAGUCAUUUAUUUUUUUAUCUUCACCUACUAGUAUAAAUUAUAUUUAAAUAAAACACACUCAUAAUAUGGUCCUCUAAUGAUAGCUUAUUUUUAGUAAUUGAGUACAUGACUUCUCAAUUCCAAAUUCCUUCAUCUUUCAUAUAAUAAAAUGAGUUUUCUGAGUAUGGUGACAAAAAUAAAGACAGUCCCCCAAAACAUAAAUAGUUGGCAAAUGAAGUGGAACUUCCACAAAAUCUUGAGGUGGAAGCAACUCGCGAUAUGCCUCUGUAUCGAGAUUCAUCGAGAUAAUCACGAUAUGCUCGGCAAUAUCUCGAGCCAAGAAGUUUAUAGUGUCAUUCAAAUACAAAUCUUCAUUGAAAAGCCGACGUUUUCUUGGAGCACGUUGCCAAUGGUCUAAAGGAACCACAUGAAGAAGUUGAAUAAUUUUCCAAGCAUUACCCCCUACACUAAAUAUUUCGACUUUGUUGGGACUCAAAGAUAGAAUCUUAUAAGUAUCGGUUGAAUUAUCAUAACCAAAUGAAAAGCGGGAAGACCUGCGAUAGUCAUAUGUAUUUUGGUGAGGAUUGGAGUGAUGCCCAAAAUAGACAGAAAAUGUGUGGGCGGUUGGGUUCCAUAAUUGAAACCAGGUAUAUUGAAGAUCUGUUAAAGAAAUAACACUGAAACAUAUCAAUCCAUUGCAGGAACCAAUAAAUUCGUAGCAAUUGUCGACGCUGGCUGAGAUGUAUUGUUUGGUGUACUUUAUUAUGGAAGGAUUGUUUAGUAAAGUAUUAAGGGGAUAGGGUUGGAUAACAGAUUCCCCAGACACGCCUAAGAUUUGUGUGAGAUUCUUAUUUUUUUUGGAACGUUGAAGGUGCAGUUUGAUAAAUUUUGGAUCGGAGAUGAUGGCGUUCCAUGCUUUAGUCACGCAUCUCAGUUGCGUCAAAGAUCUAACCGGAAGGUAUGACAGAACUUGUACGAUGAGUUCUUCAGGAAGGAAUAAUAGAUUGCCGUUGGAUUUCCGUAACUUCAUCACAACUUGCGCACUCUUAAAACUGAAAUAGACAUAAAAAGCGCUGAACCCUAAUAAACUUAAACAAACUGGUACUCAUUUAAAUAGGUUUUCUUUAAAUAUUUUUUUUAUGUGUUUGUAUCCUUUGAUUUUUAUCUUAGCCCAACAAACAUGCAACCUCACCUUUUCUUUUCUAUAUUUUUUUAAACCAUUUUAAGAAAUACACUAGUGGUAUUAUUUUAAGAUUUUAAAUAAUAUUAUAUAUUUUAAUUUUUAAUAUUUAUAAAAUUUUAUAUAAAUUUUUAUUAUAGAAAGCGAUACAGAACCUUAUAAAUAAAAACAACCGCUUACAAAAUAUAGAAAAGUAACCGAGCGUGUAUAGAGACCAAUAUAUUUAGCAAAAGUCCAAGUCAAAACAUCAAUAAAAAAUUGCCUAACCACAAAAAAAGAAAGAAGGAAAAACUAUUACAAAUAAAUUCAAAUAUAUUCAAAUAAUAAUGACAAAUAAAUUCAAAUUACCUCAUUUUUUAUAUUACAUUCAUUCCUUACAAACUUUCAUAUUCUAAAUCAUAUUUAAUGAUGUUUUUAUGUCAACACUAUGAAAUAUAUUAUUGAGUUUUGAUGUCUACUAUAAUUUAUAUCUAAAUAUUUUGUGAUUCAAAAUUGAAAUUUAUUAACAUAAAAUUGAAUAAUUAUUUAAUCAUAUAAUAUAUUCCGUCAUUUUAUUUAAAAAUCAGUGGAUAAACUAAUUCAUAGUACAUGCUAUGAAUCGCAGGAGUUUUAGAUUAUACUUUUAUUUCACUAAAAAUGGUAACCUUUCUAAAUAUUUUAUUAAUAAUUUAAAAAUAAAUUACGUUUUUUCUUGAUUUCGUUAUCCAAUCGAGGUGAAUUUCUUUCUCUAAUUUAUAUAUAGAUUAGCAUGAAACAUUUAGUUAAACAACAUAAACGAAACGAGUAGUCAUAAACAAGAGAGCCCUAAACAAUAAGAAUCCUAAACACAUACCAUCCUCAAUACGAAGAUGAUAUGUGUUUAGGGCUUUCAUUCGAUUCUUGCCUGAACGAAAGAUCCAAAACAUUUUCUUUCACUUCUUCUUCUCAGAUCUAGUACAUCAAAUAUCACUACUUAUGUUGUUGUUGUUGAUGUUGUUGUUGUUGUUAUUGUUGUUUGUUUGUUAUUGUUGAGAUCCAAAAUCCUAGAGGUUUAAUCAUGUAGUUGAUGUUGUUUAAAUAGGUUUAUCUUAGAGAUUAAUUACUAUAUACUGUUAGUGUAAAAAGUUUUACACCGUCGAUUCAUCACCAUCAUCUGUUUGUAUUACUUUAUAGAUUUUUGAAAUAAAAGUCAAAUUUCUUUUAAUAUCCGACGUCUAUGAUUAACUGACGGUGUAAAAUCUCUUUACAUUGUCAGUGUAUUUCAAUUAAACUGUUUAUCUUAUAGGUUUAUUGAUGAUGUUGUUGUAGUUUUGUUGAGAGAUUGUUAAAGUUUUCUUUAAAUGUAUUUUUUUACAUGUUUGUAUCUUUUCAUUUUUAUCUUAGGCCAACAUACAAAAUCACUUUUUUCUAUAUUAUUUCUUUUAACCAUUCUAAGGAAUACUCUAAUGGUGUUAUUUAAAGACUUUUAAAAAAAUUAUAUUUUUAAUCUUAAUGUAUAUAUAAAAUUUUACAUAAAUUUUUAUUUGAACCAUUCUAAGGGAUACAAUAUUGAUAUUAUUUUAAGAUUUUAUAUUUUAUAUUUUAUUAAAAAUGACGCAUUCUUGAAUAUUUUGUUAAUAAUCUAAAAAUAAACUAUGUUUUAUCUCGAUUUUGUUAUCCAACCGAGAUGAAUUUGUUUCUCAUAUAAUAUCUAUAUAUAUAUAUAAUAUAUAUAUAUAUAAUAUAUAAUAUAUAUCUAUAUAAUAUAUAUAUAUAUAUUAUAUAUAUAUUAUAUAUAUAUAUAUAUAUAUAUAUAUAUAUAUAUAUAUAUAUAUAUAUAUAUAUAUAUAUAGUUUAACUUGUAGCAUUUAGUUAAAACAACACAAACGAAUAAUCCUAACCAAGAAAGCCAAUAGAGAGCCCUAGAUAAUAAGAGUCCUAACACAUAUGAGCCUUAAUAUGAAGAUGUAUGUGUUUAAGCUCUCAUUCAUUCUUGGUCGAAUAAAAGACAACAACAUUUUCUUUCACUUCUUUUUCUCAGAUAUAAUACAUCAAGCAUCACUACUCGUGUUACAUUGUGUGUUUGUUUAUCGUUGUUAUUGUUUGUGUUGUUUGUUGAGACCUAAGACCCUAGAGGUGUAAUCUUGUUGUUGUUGUUGGUUGUUGUUGUUGUUGUUGUUGUUGUUGUUGUGUUGUUUGUUGUUGUUUAAUACGUUUAUGUUAUAGGUUUAUUGAUGAUGUUGUUGUACUUUUGUGAGAGUUAUUUUUUUGAAUGAUUGAUGUUAUUGUUUGUUGUUGCUACCUAGUUUGUUCCAUACUACCAACAAAAAUUAUAAAAAUCUAUAUGUAUGAUUAAGUUGUUGUUAUUGCCUUUGAUUUGAUAUUGAUAUCUUUUAUUAUAUUUAAAUCUGAAACUACAUAUUAUAUCACCAACACAGCUAAUUUUUCUAAUUUAUUUUGUGCCACAUCAUCUCAUUGCCCUUUGUGGCACCUCCCUAAUCAUUUUUUAAAGUUCAAAUGUAUUAGUUUUCUCUCUUAGAGAUCACGAGUUCAAUUCUUGCAAAGACAAAAAAAUACAAUAUUUAUUUUUUAUUGGAAGUCACAAGUUCAUUUUUUACAAAAACAAAAAUAUUUAUGAAUCUAAACACUAAAAUUAAAUAACACAAACGAAUAGAACCCUAACGAAUAGUCGCUAACCAAGAGAGCAAAAUAAGAGAGCCCUAAUAUAAUAGAGUUCCUAAACACAUAUCAUCUUUAAUACUAAUAUGAUAUGUGUUUAAGGCUCUCUUGAAUUCUUGCUCGAAUGAAAGACGCAAAACAUUUUCUUUCACUUCUUCUUCUAGAUAUAAUACAUCAAACAUCACUACUCAUAUUACAUUGUUGUUGUUGUCGUUGUUGUUGUUUGUUGUUGUUGUGUUGUUGUUGAGUGCCUAAAACAUAGAUGUUUAAUCUUGUAUUGUUAUUGUUUAAAUAAGUUUAUGUUAUAGGUUUAUUAAUAAUGUUGUUGUAGUUUUGUUGAGAGAUUAUUGUUUUUGAGUGGUUGAUGUAUUGUUGUUGUUGCUUAGUUGUUCUACUACAAUAAAAUUAUAAAAUUAAUAUGUUUGUGUUUAGUUGUUGUAUUGAGUUACAAUAUUUGAGAUUGGAAUAUUGAUAUUGAAAUUAGAUUAUGUUUUAUGUUCUUUGUACAGUUUUCAUUCUUGUUCCGCCGAAUUUAGUUUAUUUUAUCUAAUGUUAUCGUUGGUUUUUCACUUACCAUCUUUAACAUAAAACCUAUUAAUUGUGUUUGGAAAAAUAAUCAUAUGAAAAAUGAUAUUGUAUUUAAAAUUUAUCUUACACUGAUUAAUGAUUUUAUAGCAUCUGCAACUCAUGCAUUAUCUCACUGCAUUUUUAUAGUUUAAUAUCUCCAAUCUUAAAAGAUGGCUCGCCCAAUGUUUAUACCUCAAUUUUUUAUUGAAUUAAUUUGAAGUUUUAUCAUAAAAUAUAUUAUUGUGUGACUUAAAAAUUAGUUCCUUAAUAUUGUGCAUUUAUUGUGACGUUGUAGACACAUAUACCCGAUGUCUAAAAAUCGAGAUCAGAGAUUGACCGGUGAAAGAUGCGGUUUAAGAUUCAAUUGGUUCGACGCGGUUAAAACCUAACGGUCGAACCGUUUAUUAAAUAAAACUAUUAAUAUUGUUCUGGACUGGGCCAUGACCACUAGGCACGGCCGGCCCAAUGCUCGCCGAAGUCGAUGUCCAAACGACCACGAGACAACGUACGAACGAUCAGCAUGGUGAAACGCCGUCCGCCCGAGAACGUCUCCCCGGCCCUAAAUACGUGUCGGGCGACGAUCGGGUGCCCUCCUCAUAUGAAUUCCAUCCACUUAUGGUCAACCCACGGUCGCGGACACCUGAAUUGUGUCCGGCAGAGCCAUAACGGCAUCUCACUUACCACGUCAGUCACCAACUCCCUAUAUUGGGUCUCUUAGGAUAGGGCAGUUGACCAGGGCAGACCUGGUCUAGGUCUUAACGCUUUCUGACGGCGUCCCUGGCAGCUCCUCCUGGGCCUAGCUAAUCCAGCCCAUUAGGAGCCUUGGCCCAGCGCUGGGGCUCAGUAAUAAAAUACCCUUACAUGGAAAGGGCAGGUAUUCUAACUCACACUCUGAUAACCUCAUUCUGUACCUUUUCUGACUUAAGCAUUGGAGCACCUUGCAGGGUAACACCCCCUCUCAUUUCUAUUCUCUGGCCCAUUCACCAAGACCUUUGGAAGGCCCUCACUGAUCAGGUAAGAUCGAGUGGCGCCGUCUGUGGGAACCAGCUAUCCCAUCUUCAUCAACGAGGAUCAAAAGCUUCAUUUAUUUUGUCCUUUCCAACAUGGGCGGAGAACACAUAGCGAUCACAGCCGUCCCUCGUCAACUGUACAAUAUGGACGACGGCCCGCCAUCCAUGAAACGGACGCUCGGACGGUCAUCCAUCCACCCCCGUCUCCAAGAGCCCCAAAAACAACGGGAUGCUCUCACGCCCACAAUUUAGGGCAGAGAACAUUUCAUCCCAUUCCCGUUCCCAUGUUGAAGGAGACGCGUAAUGAUUGGCCAUGGUGAAAUGCCCUCAAUCAGGCCGUUCUAUGCAUCCACCAGCAGCCACGAACGAAUCAUGGCCCUCGAAGCCGAACGACAAGAGGCCCCGACCCAGCCGGUGAGUGGAAUACAACAACGUUCGGAAGCCAACGAAGAAGCGAGGAGCGUCGCUCUCCAGACCCCACGUCAGCAGGGCAACGCGCGCCGUCGUGACGGUGGAUCCACGGCGGGAACAUCACCAAGGCGCGGACACAGCCCCGACAACAACGAACUGUCUCCCGUUAAGGAGGCGACGAGGAGAUUUGCAUUGCCCCUAUCUCGGGCAAUAAUGGAAGCCGCCGCUCCCAAGGCAUGAGAACCACCAAAUCUAGUAGCUGUGUUAGCGACGGGACUACAGAUCCCGACGAUCACGUCGACAACGUCAACGCGAUGCUCGACUACCGCAGAUGAUAUAACCGGGCACCUCAAAUGCCGACUGUUCUCGACGGACCCUCAGGAAAGGGGCCAUGACUUGGUACAAAAGCUUGGCCCUGAGUCCAUUACGUCAUGGAGAGUCAUGAGGUCCAUGUUACCAGGCACUGUACAGCUUGCCCGUCGUCACCCCAGACUGAGGGCGACCUUGAAGCCAUAGUGCAGAAGAAGAAUGAAAACACUGGCGCUCAUACAUCGAGCGAUUCAACGAGGAAGCUGUCGAAGGUAGAUACCACCCGAGCACAUGAAGAAGAUUCUCCUCGAGAGAGGUCUUCUUGCCCGCAGUGAACUGCAAGCCGUAGGGAUCGGCCUCCCGCACCUAACAGCUCCUGCAGUAAGCCAGGCUACAUCAGAUACGAGGAAAAGCAGGGCACACAAUGCGCCGCAGCGCGUAGCGCUGGGAGACCGAGCACCUACCAAACGCGAGGAAACCACGAGCCAUAUUCCCGUCGCAUACGGAGACAGAACGAAGGAGAAGAAAGACCGCGAGCUCCGGGAAGGAAGAGGCCCCGCGGGCAGAUAUACGCGAGUACACCUACUGACAGCUCCCUCGAGAGGCGUAUCCUCGCAGAAUGUAAUCAAACUCUGACAAUUUCAGCAGGCAGGGUCAGGUUCCCAAAACCGUCUGCACCAAAAGCCACACCGACAAAUCAAAGUACUGGGCACGUUCCACAGAAGUCACGGGGCACGUGACCGAGACUGGCGUACCACUGAAGGAUGCGAUAGAAAUUUUUAAUCCAAGAGGGGCACCUGAAGCAGUAUACGAGGAAGAACGAAGCUCCCAGACACGACGAGCCAGAGAAGAGAGACCCCGGGAAGAACACACCCCUGACAACUCCUCCUAUCAAGUGGCCUCUGCGUGUCACGACCGGAAGAUUUCUUCCUCCCCCGAAACCAUUGCCGAGGGCAAGAUCACUGCACUCAGCCCCUGGGAAACUUCCCUGACCACACUGGUGAUAUCAGGAGGAGGAACUAACGGGGAAUCCGCGGCCCUCUCCGUCAAACGUAAGUUCGACGAACUCCUACUGACUGCCCCCCGAGCAGAAAGCGACAUUGACAAAUACCGGGAAAAUCCAACCAUAUCCUUCUUCCUGGAGUGAACUCCCGGCGGAUCCCCGAAACUCGGCAUCCCACUAUUGAUAGGGCAAAGAUGGCCCCAAUUCGACGUACGACGCAUCUGGUCGACCAAGGCAGCUCAGUGGAUAUCAUGUACGUCCACCUCUUCAAGACUCUGAAGCUAGACAGGCCAACUUAGCCCCUACGUCGGAUCAGCAUCUCCAAGGAUAUCAACGAGCAACAACCAGACCGUGGGGAUAUGUUGAGCUCCUCGUCACCUUCGCGAACAAGAAACGGCCAGGGAAGUCAACAAUCCAAUUCCUGGUCGAUAGACUGUCCGUCUCUCCUACAAUUGCAUCUUUGGACGCCCGACACUGGCCGACUCACCGCGGUCCAUCCACGUCCACGCUAAAGAUGAAAUACUACACCAAAUUGGCGACGUGUGCUCACCAUCCAUGUGACAUCGAAGCAGCCCGGCGAUGCUACGACGCCGCAGUAAAAGGACAGGCCGUAGUCAGCACGAAGAGCAACUGCAACAACAAAAAACUCAGGACCGGGGAUCCUGCCCGCAGGAGUCAACGGCCAUCGACCUCGACUGUCGCAUCGGGCUGGACGAGACCGAAGAGGGAGGUUCCCCAAGGACGCUCUCUCGGACACCGCUCGGUCUGACCAAUCCCGCGGACGGAGAGUUCGAACUCAUUCCUCUUGGGGACGAUCCGGAAAGGACGGUGAAGAUAGGUAAGGGACUACCCGAGGAAACAAGAGAGAGCUAGUAGCAUGCCUCAAAGAGAACUCGACCUCUCGGCGUGAAUGCGCCAGAAAUGCCCAGGGCUGGACCCCGAGAUCGCGUGUCAAAGCUAGCUCUAGACGCGGCGCAGCAAGCCCAUACACAGCGUAACGCAAGCAAUCGCCCGAAAGGCAGAGGCUGCCGAGCGAGCUGUAAAAGACCUCUUAGAGGCAAAUUUUAUUUCUGAAGGCCCAGUACACAACCUGGCUCUCUAAUGUAGUCCUCUGUUGAAGAAAAUAAUGGAAAAUGGCGUAUGUGUGUUGAUUAUACUGAUCUUAAUAGGGCUUGCCGAAAGAUGCUUUCCCCUCCCUAGAUAAUAGACAUGCUCGUUGACAACUCUGCAGGUUUUAACUCUUGUCCUUCAUGGACGCAUGAUAGUGGGAUACAACCAGAUCCCUAUGUCGCCCCACAGACAAGAAACACACAGCGUUCAUGACCCCAACGGGCAAUUACUAUUACAACGUGAUGCCGUUCGGCUCAAGAACGCUGGCGCUUACAUACCAACGCAUGAUGAACAAAGUCUUCAAGGACGAAAUAGGGACAUGCUCGAAGUAUACAUGGACGACAUGAUCGUCAAUCACACGAGGAGAUAACCCAUGCUCGACACCUUGCGAAGGUAUUCGAGCAGCGAGAACAGUGUAAAAUGAGGUUCAACCCGAAAAAUGCACGUUCGGAGUCCGGGCAGGCAAGUUCCUCGGUUUCUAUCUCACCGAAAGAGGAUAGGCGGCCAACCCGACAAUGCCGGGCAUUCUCGGAGGUUGCGACCCGAAAACCAAAAAAUGCGAUCCAGUCACUCAAUGGAGUGCUCGCCUCACUCUCCCGUUUCAUCGCCAGGUCCGCCAGCCGCAUUGCCAUCCAGACUCCUUCGCAAGAGGCUACCUUCGACUGGACCGAUGAAUGCGAGCAAGCGUUACUCCAUCUAAAGAAGGUUCUGUCCCAACCCCGGUCUUAUCACGGCCUCAGAACGAGGAAACCUAUACUUUAUACCUAUCCGUGGCAACCGAGGCCGUCAGCGCCGUUCUAAUAAGAGAAACCGACGAAGGACAAAAGCCCAUCUAUUUUACGAGUAAAGCACUCCAAGGCCCCGAGCUCCGUAUCAGCAAAUCAGAAAGUCGCCCUGGCCCUCAUAACACAGCGAGAGACUACGAUAUUACUUCCUCGCACACACGAUAAAGGUUGAGGACCGACAGCCAAUCAACAGCUGCUCGGGCGCCCGGAUAUGGCCGGGAGGAUGCUCAAAUGGUCACUAGAACUCUCCGAAUCGACAUACAAUACGAAAGUAGGAAAGCCUUGAAAAGCUCAGGCACUGGCCGACUUUCGUCGGCGGAGAUGACCCACUGCCCGACUCCAGCAGAAAGCGCCACAAAUGGACGAUCUUCGUCGAUGGGCCUCUAGCACAUACAGCCGCGGGGGCCGGGAUCAUCCUCGACAAAUGAAGAAGGGAUCCUGAUAGAGGUAUCAUUAGCGCUAGCGUUCCCCAGCAUCAAAACACCAGCCGAAUACGAAGCCUUCGCUCGCAGGCCUGAGGUUAGCGAGGACUGGGAGCAAAAGAGGUAAAAAUAUCCACGACUCCAGCUCGUGGCCUCACACGUGGCGAGGAGAAUACCAAACCAAGAACGACAACCUCCUCGAGUACUUGUCCUCGUCAAGAAAACUUGAUAGAUUUGAAAACUGGGAAGUUCAACACAUACCCGCGAGGCACAACACACGGGCAGACGUUCUCUCGAAACUAGCCAGCACGAGGAAAAAAGGGUGGAAUAAAUCAGUAAUCCAAGAAAUUCCCUCUCGCCAGCAUCGACAAACUACCGCUCCACUCGGGUCAACGCUAUUGGAGAUGCCGCUGUUGGAUGACACCCCUCUACAAUUACCUCACACGAGGACGAAACUCCCCCCUGACCCUAAAGAGGCGACACUGUUCAAACGACGACGCAUCGCUCGUACUACUCCUGAAGGCAAACUUACCGGAGAGGAUUCUCCCAUCCCUCUACUCAAAUGCCGUCGAGAGAGAGAAAAAGUCCCCGACAUACUUGGAGAGAUUACACGGGGGAAUUAAACGCACUCAACACCUCGGCGGACGAUCGCUCGCGACGAAAAGCGCCUCGAUCGAGCGCAGGUACUACUGCCGACCAUGCAAAACGAUUCGAAAGACGGCACGUCAAGAUGUGAGCAAAUGCCAACGACAUGCCGACAGUGCACCUCGCACCCCGCAACGACCUCAAAAAUCACGUCGUUCCCCAUGGCCUCCUCCGCGUGGUGGAGGUCAUGGCCAUAUCCUCGGAACCUUCGUCACGCGAUCAUAUCAGAAUAAAAUACGCUCAUCGUCGGGGGUGGAUUACUUCACCAAAAAUGGAUCGAGCGCGAGGCACUGGUAAAAUAACGCGCAGAACAAUUCUCCGUCUGGUCAAACCGCAACAUUGCCUCGCUCCGGUUCGGUAUACCGCCAGGCCACUUGUCACAGGACAACGGGACACAAUUCACGGACCGCGGGUUUCCAGGACAAUUUUUUUUUUUUUUUUUUUCAUCGCCAGCCUGGGCAACCAGACAGCGCAUUUCACGUCUUGUCGAGCAUCCGCAGACGAACGGGCAAGCAGAGGCCAACAGGUAACUUAGUGGCCCUAAACGCAGACCUCGGUGAGGCAUAAGAGGGCAUGGGUCGAGGAGCUUACAUGCGUGCUUGGGCCUCACCGCCGACACCAUCAUUUCUACCACGGGAAAGCCCCGUUCCGACGUACUUACGGCAGCCGAGGCAGUCAUCCGCGGUGGAGAUCUACGCGGCGCCAGAGAGGACAGAGGAGCCCUAGACGAGGAAAUGAACGUAUGAAACCCUUAGCGCCGAGCUCGACCUUAGUCGAGGGAACGUUCCGAAGCCAGCUCUCAGGGGAACAACCUCAAACAUAAAAAUAGCACACGCCAUGACGCGAAAGUCAUUAAAAAGGAGAGUCCAGGUCGGCAACCUCUGUGCUCAGAAGAAAACCAGGAAAAACCAACCCGGAAGAAGAGGGCAAACUGGCGGCCAACUGGGUAAGGCCCUUACCGCGGGUCCGCUACUACCAACAAAACAACAAAGGGAGCAAAGGGGUCCCCUAUUACCUAGAAACACCUACAAGGAGGAAAAACCAACUCGCUCGACCAUGGAACGGCAGGGCAAAACUUAGACAAAUAUUUUAACAAGGGCUAAAUGAACACCCACAGGCUUAAAUACACACGGGGAGGACGUGGGCCAGGUACGACCACGCUCAUUCGUCCCCAACACGCGCAGGGAGGAACCACGAGACCCCGGGAACGAUACCGGGGUCAACAUAACAACACAACCCAUACGCCCGAACGGUUGGGAAUCUUGAACGCAAGACUCAACGUCGAAGUACCUAGACUGGAGGGCACCCAGCUCGCGGAUGGGAGGGCCCCCCAGCCUCGGACGCAGGGUUUCGCAACAACGACCCGGGCUUCGAUAAACCCACGGGCACAAAGCCCGAGCACUCCGUCGGUUCCUAAACGCGAGGAUGAUUACAAACAGUCGAGCAGAGUACGAUCAUACAAACAAGUAAUCGCAAAACACAAACGAGCACAAUGAGAUAACGAAAAUAUUCAUACAUUAAAAACGAUAAGAGUGGGCCAGAAGCCUAAGUCGCCCCCGAAGGCCAUAUACAACGCGGCCCGAAAGGCCAAAUAUCAUAAGGCAACGCGGCCAUGAUAACUAAAAUCAAAGAAAAGGACAACAUAUAACUAAAGACUCCGCUCGGAGCACCUCUUCAUCCUCUCUUCUUCUUCUCGCCCCCAGCUCCUCCUCUCGCUCAACGGGCAGAUAAAUCUCACCAUCCGGACGCAGCAGUUAUAGGCCGACCCUGCUGUCACCAACGUCAGGGUUCAGAAGCGCCCGAGCUUGCUCGACAGGCAAUUGUCGAAACCUCUUUGUAAGGCAGGCCACGAGGAUUUGGUGCGAGAGUCCGAGAGAUGCCCUUAGCAAAGGCUUCACCGCGCGAACCAAGGGCGCGUUCCUCCUCGGUCUCAUCUGCCAGAAGGACGGACCUUUCCUCAAAGAAGCUCCACCUGAGCCCGUCGGCCGAAGCGUUGUCCUCGUCAGCUUCUGAUGGUCGACACCUGCUCUUUUUUUUUUUUCCCCAAGGGGCUCCGGCCUUAGCAGCCCUUCACUGGUCCCUCUCCUUCUUCCACCUCCUCCAGCUUCUGGCUCAAGCCCUUCCUGCAAGCGCGAUGCUGGCUUCUUUGUAAAGUCCGACAAUCUUUAAGAUAUCUUCCUCUCCGUCGAACCUGCAAAAGGGCAUCCUCCCAUCGCGAGGCAGUGGAAGACCGAAGUGGUCCGGUCAAAAACCAUGGCCGUGGCUCCAUCACCCCGGAUGACAGCAGCAAUAUCGCCUGGCCAGAUUUUUCUCCGGGGAAAAAGGGGGCAGCACCUGGUCCAGAAUUAGCCUUGGCUCAAGGCGCAGGCACAGCAAUCGACUCCUCGGCGCUUUGAAGAACGACCGUAUCCACAUAGCAGGGAGGUAGAAGAUAGCUGCCCGGUCCAUUCGGACUCCUAGCAGACGAGCCUUGGUGAAGGCCCAGCCGACGCUUCCGUUUAUGGGGGGAGAACCGCUGGCGGACGACUCACUAUCAGGAAUGUCGAUGCGGGUUAGAUCGAGGAGCGAGAGGAAGGAAUCAGCUCGCGCGCCUGCGAGGGACCGGCCCGGCAUCCAUGCAGUAAANNNNNNNNNNNNNNNNNNNNNNNNNGACGUUGGCACGAGGUGGUGGUCGAGCGUUGACAGAUUGAACGCCGACGAUGAGCCAGCUGCGAGGUCUGUACCUGUGACGCGUCCGAGCCUUGACCAGUAAAACAGUGUCAGCAAACAGAGGUUAGUGUUCUUGAUUCCUCGGCAGUCAUGUGAUUGAGAUCAGUUGCGAAUGUGGUAGCAUUAUCCUGUUGGGGAUUGCGGAACCGCUAGCAUUGGUUAUCGCUCGUAAGAACACGGCGUCCCUCAUGGCGCGUGUUAUGAUUUGCGUUGCGCUUUGACUUAUGCUUCAUUCGAGCUGUAUCAUGUUAAUAGCCUUGUUGGUGGGCGCAGAACUUUCAGGGAUCAUAUGGUCGGCAUGAACGAGAAUCUUAUUCACAUGAGCAGUUCUAAAAAAAAAUCCACUGCUUGGCUGUUUCACAGUCGUGAUGUGAGGAUGCCAUGUUUCAUAUCACACACACGCGGAUUGUCCGGUAGGUGGGGAUCUGGUGACAAAGACGGGUACAGCUUUUGGUGGCUCUUGUCUUGCGGCUUAUGUGACCGCGCGUAUCACUGUCUUUAUUUGAGUGUAAAUACUGAGUAGAGUGUCCAUAUGGCAUUAAUAUGGAAUGGCCUAUUAUCAGUAAAUUAUGGUGAGUGAUCAGUGACUAUAUUGUUGAUUUUGUUUUUGUGUCAAAAUACACUACAGCCACUCGUCCACAUUUGGACCCUACCAUUCAGUAACACACGACCAUGGCGCCAAUGAAAUAUGUGCUGCACCAGUGCCCUAGCUUAAUCCAACAUUGACGUUCUCACUUCUGAGUUAUAGGAGACGUCAUUGGAGUUGACAUCUCCAUCGCUACUUAUAGUAGAAGUAGUUUGUGAAUUUUUUUUUGAGAAAGUCAAGGUUUUUUGAAAUUAGUUUUUUUGUAAUAAGAUUAAUUAAGUUACUCCUUUUACGUAAUGCAAGAAUGUGCUCCACAUGCUUUGUUAAGUGACUGUUGAGAUUGUAUGUCCUCGCUCUCCCCGGAUGCUAAUUUUCCAUUAUUAUCAGUGAUACUUUCUGACAAAUAGUGACGGAAAGCUAAAAUAUCAAUUUAGAGUUAUGUAAUGAGGAUGUUUACAAUUAAACAUAACAAUAAAUGAAAAAUAAAGAACAUCACAAUAACUGAUUAAUGAGCAUUUAUUAUAAUAGUAAUCACAAUUAACAAUUCUUAAAUAUACCCAAUAGAUUUGUUUAGCCAAAUUACAGAUUGAUUGUUUUAUUGAAGUCAUUAAAAAUCUAUCAAUGAGCUAACCAUAAUCUAGUCUAGAUCUAAUAAAGCCCCUGUGACAUUAGGGAGAUAGUAUAAGGUUUCGUUUAUAAUUGUAAAUUAUAACAACAUCCGCUCCUAAAAAAUAGCAAUAAAUAUAGAAAGGACAAUAUGUUGUAUAUAGUAUAGGAAUCUCACGUUAAAACUCUAGUUAUUCAUGCAUUCUAAUUCUUUUCCUGGCAACAGCUAGACGUAUAACGGACGAUGAGACAACUAUUGUUACAUAUUCAAGCUUUAUUUUUAAUAUUGAAUCUACAUAUGAUAUUGUGAUAGCGAGUAUUGUUGUUUCUACGUGCACCGGCGCGGUUUAGAUGCCGCGAUAGUGCGCUGCUGAAUUUCAUGUUUUCUGUUGUGAGAAAUGCCAGGUUUUCUAGUUCGCUUAAGAUUUGCGCUGUCGUUGUGUGACCUCAUGACCUGGCAAGGCAAUUACUACUGAGCCGUCGUUUUCAACGCAAACCUCCAUCUUCUAGUAAAGAAGAAAUAACCGACCAUUUAAGUCGAAGGAAAUACAAGAAAUGAGGGUGUUGCAGGAGAAACAGAUAUUGCUGUGAAUAAACUUUUGUGAUAUGACCCUGUAGGUGUUGGUUUUGAUCUGUAUGUGUAGUCAUGAUGCUUAGGUAAGGUAGCUUGGCCAUGUGUGUGUCAACACAUGUGGAUUGGUCUUUGAUGGUUGAGUAAUGCUGCUCAUGAAGGAGCUGCAGUUUUGAUAACGGACACUCGUUUGCAGAGACAAUGGGAUUACGGGCUAAGCUAGUUCUUAAAAUCAAUUUGGUACUGUAGCCUGGAGUACAAGAUAAACAUUCUCCGAUUUUGAAUGGUGAAGACUUUUCUUUAAAUUCUAGGUGACUGCUUCUAAUUGCUAUUAAGCAAACUUUAUACUAUAGCCUGCUCACCGAUCUAAAACAAACAAAACACUAUGUCACGCAGGGUAAUAAACAUUUCCAUUCAUAAGCCCAACCUCUAAGUUCAAACCUAAUUGGCUCCUCAAAUUCUACACAUAAAUGGCUCAUAAUUGCCGAAGCCCAUAAGGUAGAAGGCCAUGGAAACAAUGAGACGCAUGGACAAUGCCACUGUAGGUAACCAAAACUUGCUCGUAAUAAUCUAUGUAAUCCGGAAAACUCAAAGGCCUAAUAACUAAAAACGUCAGGCCAUAAUGAUAGGAUUAGUGUUGGGAUCCUUAAAAGAAUAAGUAUCUCCUAAUUACUAAGCAAUCAAGAUAAACAACUCAAGCAACCCUUUUGUUUACAAUUAACCUGAACUUCAAUAAAUUAAAAUAUAUCUUCGAUAAAAACUGAAAUUAUUUGAAAAAAGGUUAAUGAUUAUGGAACCAAUCGUGAAAUCUUAAAUCGCAUCCGAAUCAAAUGAAACAAACCAGAUGGAAUGAUGAAGAUUUUCAAGGUUUUGAGUUGUCCAAGUAGAAAUAAGACAUGUUGGGGUUGUAAGCACUUCGGAUCCAGUGAGGAUACUUAGCUUUGAGUUUAUGCCAUCAUGUCGAACGUUUUGAACGCCGGCAAAAUUGGGGUAUGCAAGCCAUGAUGUAUGUUGUGGUGAGGAGUGGAGUGAUGACCGCAAAGUGACUCAGAUAUGGUCGGGCGAGCUGGUCCAGUAAUUGAAAACAGGUGUAUGAACGCAUCUGUUAAGAGAACAGACUGAAACAUGAUUCAAGAGCCAUUACAGGGGAACGCAAGAACUCGUAGCAAUUGUGAGGCUAGCUGAGAUGGUAUAUCGUCUUGGUAGACUACUUAUUAUGGAAGGAAUUGUUUAGUAAAAGUGAGGGGAAGAGGUUGGAUAACAGAUUCCCGAGACAGGCCUCUUAUUUUUUAUGGACACGUGAAGAUUGCAGUUGCUAAAUUUUGGAUCGGAGAUGAGGCGUCCAUGCUUUGGUCACGCUCUCAGUUGCGUCCCACUAAGCAACCGGAAGAUAUGAAGAAUCGACUUGUACAAUGAGUCUCGGGAAAGAAUGAAAAGAUAAUAGAUGCCGUUGGAUUACAUCAGCAGUAUGCGCACUCUUGAAACAUGAAAUAGAAUAGAUAUAAAGUUAACCCCUAAAAACGUAACAUUUGUUAUUGGUAGCUGCACAUUUAAAUAGGGUUUCUAAAACCUGUUUUUUAUUACUAUGUGUAAUCCAUAUCAUUUUAUUAGAGGCCGCACACGCAACCUGCAAACAAGCAGCUUUCUGCUUGUGUGACAUCAUGCUGGGCACACAUACCUACUUGAGGGCCUCUUUUACCAAGAAUAAUCUUACAGCAAACUCAAUGCUUUGAAAAUAACCGUACCAUUAAGGUCGAAGAAAUGACAAGGAAAUGAUGGUGUGCAGGUGAAACAGAUAUUGCUGUGAUGAACUUUGUGAUUGACCUUAGGUGGGUUUUGUAUGUGUGUCAUGAUCGCUUAGGUAAGGUACUGUGGUCAUGUGUGUGUCAACAUGUGAAUUGGGUUCUGGUUGAGUAUGCUGCUGCAGCUGCAGUUUGAUGAUCACCGUUUUGCAGGACAUGGAUUUACGGUGCGGAAGGCCAUGGCAUGCUGCAGAUCUAAUGCAUCUGCUCUGAUGCGGAUGCAGGCUGGACUGUGAAGAUGUUCCUUGUGGUAAACAGAGUUGCUUUGGGGUGGUGUUAGAUCAAUUUAUCACGAGAAUGCACUUUGACAAAAUGAGAAAGAAGUAUGACAUCGCACCACUAUUCGUACUAUGAAGUUUUCUGUCGCCUGUGUGUGUGUUGCUGUUCACUGCACGGUUGAUCUUAAGAUUCCAAAGCUGUUGAGAGCUCUUCAAGGCGUCUCUGUCAGCUAAUCUCCUAUUGGGUCUUUGGAUACGCCUAUACUAUGCUAGCUCAUUCUAACAAAUCAAAUUUGCCAAACUUAACACUGAUAAAAAAUUUCUGAUUGUUGAAUGUGAACGUUUUCUUUUUCGUAUAAUUCCUAGUUCCGUCUAAUGGGCUUUGAGGAACUUUAACUAUAGCCCUGCUUAACCAUUAAGACAACAACACAUCUCAAUUAAAAUUGAAUUAAUCAAAAACAAAAACAGUAAAUAAAAAACACUUAACCAUGAACCGUUGAACUUUUCAUAUCUCAUCACCGCCUGAACCCACAACAGGCGCUGACAGGUGACAGGCUUUCCUUGUUAGAGAUUGUAAUUACGCUUGUUAUGCUUGUAGUUGGUUUGUUAGUCAAACAGGUAGCCGAUAAUCUACCGUUUAUAGGAUGUCUAUACUUUGACUGUAUUUGUUGUCACUAUGUUGUUCUGACUCAUGGUACUACUUUUUUUGGCAAAAAGAGGGAGUGUGAUUGGCGUAUGUUGUGGAUGCUGAGCCUCUUGUAGUAUGAUUCUAACGACGUGAACCCUGCUAAGAAAUCUGCAGUACACGUGAUGUACCAAAUAUAAUAAUCUAUGAGACUAAUAGAAAAACUUAAGUUGUCGCUGGUUGCAUAUUGCAUUCGCGUUGAUAUUUAAAGAAGAAAUCAACUUUGAUCAUCUAUAUGUAUACAUUAUAGUGAUACAUUUAUAACCGUUUCUCUAAACCGGCAUACCAUGCACUGUAUAGAUCACAAGACAAUGCUACAAAAUUUCACCUCUAAUUUAUUUAUGCAUAGCCUCCAAUCCAUAUCUCUUGUGCAAACCUAUGUUGUUGGCACCUCACCCCGGCCCUAAAAUCCUGCUUAUUAAAAGUUCAAAUGUAUUAGAUAUUCUUCUUAGACGAUCACAGGUUGCAAUUCCUUUGCAAAGACGAAAAAAGAUAGAGCAUAUUCAGUUUUUUAUGAAGUCACAAUGUCAUCUUUUUGACAAAAACAAAAUAGACUUUAUGUAUAUACUUAAACCACUAAUAAUUACAAAAAGUACACAACAAACGAAGUUAGAAGCGCCUAACGCCCCAAUGAAGUUUUAAACGCUAAACCAAACCAAAAAAAAGAGAGCAUAAAAUAAGAGAGGCCCUAAAUACCCAUAGCAAUCAGCAGGUGGGACCUACGUUAAACAUAGCAUUAACUCACGCCGUCUUAUAAUCACCUAAUUAAAUAUGAUAUUUUACUUUAAUCUCUGAAAAAUCUAUGAAGGCUCCUCUUUGAAUUCUUCGCUCGAAUGAAAGACGCAAAACAUAUUAAUAAUCUUAUAAGCAUAUUAGCAUAAUAUCACUAUUCCCUUAAGACCUUCCAAUAAAAUAACAUCAACCAUGCACUACUUCCCAUCAUUAUCACAUAAAUGAAUUGUUUGUUGUCUGAUUGAAUGAGUUGGUAGUGAUCGCGGUCGCAUGGUUGGGCCGUUGUGAGUUGAUUACGGUCGGAAACAUGGAGAGAUGUCACAUAAUAUAAGGCGAGUGUAUAGAGCCUGUAGCUAUACUUGGAUACCUAGAAGAGCCCAGUUAUAUAGUGCUUGUAUAUACUAUAAUGUUGUUGUAGGUGAUUGGCUGUUGGGAGCAGAUUGCCAGUGUUUUGAGCCAGUGUAUGAAAAUGCCGUAUUGUAUCAGUUAAGAAUGCGCGUAGUAACCGCCUCCUAUCCGUUGCCUUCUACCGAAAACUCACAGGUAAAAUGAGACUCCAGGCGGCCGAAUUCACGUCUCUUUUCCUCCGGCGCCCCCCAGGGAUAGGAGCAGUCGCGCUAAGACUGUGAUUCCUUCCAUGUCUUUCGAAAUUAAAUAUACGGUUUCAACUGAAGUAUGGGUGGACAAUAAGGCAACAGUCCCACGCGCAAAUCAUAAACCAUUUGCAAAAGUGGACGUCGCAAAACUGCCGCAAACCCGAAUCGAGAUUUCGCGGUGCCGAGCAAAAACCGCGUUGCGGCGACGGCGGGCGGGGCGCACCAUGAUUCGGAGCCGCUGCUACCGGUGAUACAAUGCCGGAGAAUACAAACCACUCGCCACGAACAGGUACCGGAGCUCGGAGGUGGGGCAUUAAUCCUUCGGCACCCAAGGAAGCUAUAAGAACGUGGACGGAGAUUCGCUCUUCGAGAGGAGAGGGCAGAGCGCGGAGCCAGUGCAAGGAACGCCCCGACGCUGGCCACGACGGCUUUUUGGCGCGGCACCAGGGUCAUCCGGCACGAAGGGCAACCAGGACGGCGGGCCUAAAGGACCCACAUGGGAAGAAGUCUGAAAGUAAUUUCCCAAGGGUCAUUAGCCACAGCGGACCGUGUACGAUUCGAGGCAGAGCGGAGCCGGGGGAGGACGGAGGCCGGAGCUACGAGCCAGCCAGAAGACCCGAAAGAUCCCCGGGCACCUUUCGCUUCGGCCCACUCCCACCCGAACCCACAUCCAACACCUCUACUAACAUAUCCCCCGGUGGAAUUAUAAUAACCACAAUGAAGAAGCGGGAAGCACCUGGCAUAGGCAAUAAUUAUAUUGGUGAGGAUUGAGCUGAGCCCCCCCCCCCAACAAGUCAGGCAACAGACAAGAUCCGGUGGGCGCGUUGGGUUCCAUAAUUGGAAACCCAUGGUUUCUUGAAGAUCGUUAAGAAAUAACGAUCGAAAAGUACGAAUCCAUUGACAGACGAACGAAGAAUUCGUAGCAAUGUCGACCACCAGGCUGAGAUGUAUUGGUUGGUGUCUAUAUUAUCGGAAGAUGUGUAUUAGUAAAGUAUUAAGCGGGAUAGGUUGGGAUAACAAAGCGAUCCGCGCAAACGGGACACGCCUAGAUGUUGGUUCUCUAUUUGUUUUUGGAACCGGUUGAAGGUGCAUUUGAUAAUUGGAUACGGAGUCGAUUGGCGCUUCCAUGGCUUCUAGGCGAUGCAGUUGCGUCAAAAUCUAACCGGGAAGUAUGACAGAACUUGUACGAUGAGUGUCUCAGGGAAGAGAUCAUAGAUUGCCCGUGGAUUCGGUAGCUGUCAUCACAAUCGCUGCGCACUCUUAAAGACUGAAAUAGACAUAAAAGCGACUGAACCCUAUAUAACUUAAACAACACUAGCGCAUCGUCCCCAUUUAAAUAGGUUUUCUUAAAUCGUUUUUGUUAUGUGUUUUGUGAUAUCCUUUGCUUUUAUGCUUAGCCCAACAACAUGCAUCCCUUUCUUUUCUUAUUUUUAAAACACAUUUAAGAAUCACUAGUGUUUCUUUUACAGAUUUAUAAAAUUAUUAUUUUAUCUUAAUAUUAUAAAUCUUAUAUACAUUUUAUUAUAGAAAGCGACUACAGACUUAUAAAUAAACAACGACCCUUACAAAUAUACGAAAAGUAACCGAGACGUAUAGCAGACCCCACAUCUAUUUAGCAAAAGCCAAGUCAAAACAUCAAUAAAAAGCUAAACGCACAAAAAAAGAAAACGACAGCGAAAAACUAUUGAAGCAAAAAUUCACAUAAUCAAAUCAUGAAUACACAAUCCAAUUCCAAUUAGGCAGCAUUUUUUUGCCACCACUUCAUUUCCUUACAACGUUCCAUAUUUACUAACAUACGAAUAUUUAAAUGAUUUUUUAUGUCAACACGAAACUAUGAUGAGUUUCUAUGUCUGCUUAAUUAUAUUAUCUAAAUAUUUGUGAUUCAAAAUGAAUUUGAUUAAGCAUAAAAUUGAAUAAUAUUAUAUCCAAUAAUAUAUUUCCGUCAUCUUAUUAAAACGUGAUCGAAACUAAUUCAGUAAUGCUAUGAAUGCCAGGAGUUUUAAUUACUAUCUUAUUUUCACCUAAAAAUGGUAACCGCUUCUAAUAAUUUUCAGUAUCAUGAACAAUAAUCAGCCAGCUUUUUUCCUUCGAUUUCGUAUCGCAACUCGAGGUGAAUUUCUUUCUCUCAUUUAUAAUAGAAUGAUGUAACAUUUCAGUUAACAACAUUCAAACGACACCGAUAGUCAUAAAGCAAGAGAGCACCUACAACAAUAGAAUCGUAUAACACACAUACCAUCCUCAUAUACGAGAUGAAUUGUGUUUACGGUCUUUCACAUUCUAUCGAUUCUUGCCUGAACGAAAGAUGCGACCAACAAGUUGUCUUUCAUUCUUGCCUUCUCAGAUCUAGUACACAAAUACACACUUAUGUUGUGUGUUGUUGAUGUGUUUUGUUGUGUAUUGUUGUUUUUGUUAUGUUGAGAAUCCAAUCUAGAGGUUUAAGUCAGUAGGUUAUAGUUGUUUAAUAGGUUUAGUCUUAGAGAUUCAAUGACUAUAUACUGUACGUGCUAAUGUAGAAUUUAUAAGAACGCGUCGAUUGCAUGCCACUCAUCACCUGUUUGUAAUUACUUUAUAGAUUUUGAAAUAAGAAGUCGAAUUCUUUUAAUAUCCGACGCUCUAUGAAACUGACGGUGUAAAACUCUUCUUCUUGUACAGGUAUUUCAAUUAAACUGUUUACUUAUAGGUUUAUUGAUGUGUUGUGUGUUUUGAGUGAGAGUGUUAAAUGUUCUUAAAUGUAUUUUACAUGUUGUAUCUUUUCAUUUAUCUUAGGCCAACAUACAAAUCACUUUUUCUAUAUUAUUUCUUUUAACCAAUUCUAAGAAUACUCUAGGGUGUUAUUUAAAGACUUUUAAAAAAUUAUAUUUUUAAUCUAUGUAUAUAAUCCGGAUUACAAGUUAAAUUGUUUAUUGCAAACCAUUCUAAGGAUACAAUAUUGAUAUAUUUUAAGAUUAUACGUUGUGUAUCACAGAUUUGUAUAGAGGAAGGUGGUGGGACGGGGAGAUGUGUCUUAGGAAGUGAUUUUGGGUUGAAGCUGAGGGACAUAGAACAGAAGCGUGAACUAUGUUUGAGUGGUCCACAGUGUGCGGUGUGAAUAUAUACCGCAAAAGGAAGACGAGACAUCUGCACUGAUGAGACUGAAUAAGAGUAUCCUAGCAGUGAUAUAUAGCGGAUAUAAUUAACAGAUCUAGAGUAUAUAUAUUAGUAUAGUAUACUAUACUUAUAUAUAUAGAUAUAUAUUAUAAAUAUAACUUAUAUACUAUACUAUAAUAAUAUAUAUAAUAUAUAAUAUAUAUAUAAUAGCUAUUAUAUAUAUAUUUAAGUAUAUAUAUAUAUAUAUAGUUUAACUUGUAGCAUUUAGUUAAAACAACACAAACGAAUAAUCCUAACCAAGAAAGCCAAUAAGAGAGCCCUAGAUAAUAAGAGUCCUAAACACAUAUGAGCCUUAAUAUGAAGAUGAUAUGUGUUUAAGGCUCUCAUUCAAUUCUUGGUCGAAUAAAAGACACAACAUUUUCUUUCACUUCUUUUUCUCAGAUAUAAUACAUCAAGCAUCACUACUCGUGUUACAUUGUUGUUGUUAUCGUUGUUAUUGUUUGUUGUUGUUGUUGAGACCUAAGACCCUAGAGGUGUAAUCUUGUUGUUGUUGUUGUUGUUGUUGUUGUUGUUGUUGUUGUUGUUGUUGUUGUUGUUGUUGUUUAAAUACGUUUAUGUUAUAGGUUUAUUGAUGAUGUUGUUGUACUUUUGUUGAGAGAUUAUUAUUUUUGAAUGAUUGAUGUUAUUGUUGUUGUUGCUGCUUAGUUGUUCUACUACCCAAAAUUAUAAAAAUCUAUAUGUUAUGAUUAAGUUGUUGUUAUUGACUUUGAAUUUUGAUAUUGAUAUCUAUUUAUUAAUAUAUUAAAUCUGAAACUACAUAUUAUAUCACAACACAUGCUAAUUUUUCUAAUUUAUUUGUGCCACAUCAUCUCAUUGCCCUUUGUGGCACCUCCCUAAAAUCAUUUUUAAAAGUUCAAAUGUAUUAGUUAUUCUCUCUUAGAGAUCACGAGUUCAAUUCUUUGCAAAGACAAAAAAAAAUACAAUAUUUAUUUUUUAUUGGAAGUCACAAGUUCAUUUUUUUACAAAAACAAAAAUAUUUAUGAAUCUAAACACUAAAAUUAAAAUAACACAAACGAAUAGAACCCUAACGAAUAGUCCUAACCAAGAGAGCAAAUAAGAGAGCCCUAAAUAAUAAGAGUCCUAAACACAUAUCAUCUUUAAUACUAAUAUGAUAUGUGUUUAAGGCUCUCUUUGAAUUCUUGCUCGAAUGAAAGACGCAAAACAUUUUCUUUCACUUCUUCUUCUUAGAUAUAAUACAUCAAACAUCACUACUCAUAUUACAUUGUUGUUGUUGUCGUUGUUGUUGUUUGUUGUUGUUGUUGUUGUUGUUGAGGCCUAAAACCAUAGAUGUUUAAUCUUGUAAUUGUUAUUGUUUAAAUAAGUUUAUGUUAUAGGUUUAUUAAUAAUGUUGUUGUAGUUUUGUUGAGAGAUUAUUGUUUUUGAGUGGUUGAUGUAUUGUUGUUGUUGCUUAGUUGUUCUACUACAUAAAAUUAUAAAAAUUAAUAUGUUGUGGUUUAGUUGUUGUUAUUGAGUUACAAUUUUGAGAUUGAUAUUGAUAUUGAAAUUGAGAUUAUGUUUUUAUGAUUCUUUGUACAAGUUUCAUCUUGUUCCGCCGAAUUUAGUUUAUUUUAUCUAAUGUUGAUCGUUUGUUUCACUUACCAUCUUUAGACAUAAAACCUAUUAAAUUGUGUUUGGAAAAUAAUCAUAUGAAAAAUGAUAUUGUAUUUAAAAUUUAUCUUACACUGAUUAAUGAUUUUAUAGCAAUCUGCAACUCAUCAUUUAUCUCAUGCAUUUUUAUAGUUUAAAUAUCUCCAAUCUUAAAAGAUGGCUCGCCCAAUGUUUAUACCUCAAUUUUUUGUUGAUUAAUUUGAAAGUUUUAUCAUAAAAUAUAUUAUUGUGUGACUUAAAAAUUAGUUCCUUAAUUACUUGUGCAUUUAUUGUGACGUUGUAGACAUAUACCCGAUGUCUUAAAAAUCGGAUCAGAGAUUGAACCGGUGAAACUUGCGGUUUAAGAUUCAAUUGGUUCGACCGGUUAAACCUACGGUCGAACCGUUUAUUAAAUAAACUAUUAAUAUUGUUCUGGACUGGGCCAUGACACUAGGCACGGCACGGCCCAAUGCUCGCCAAGUCCAUGUCCAAACGACCACGAGGACACGUCAGGUGAACGACCGUCCGCCCGAAGAACGUCUCCCCGGCCCUAAAUCACCGUGUCGGGCGACAGAUCGGGCCCCUCCUCAUAUGAACUCCAUCCACUUAUCGUCAACGCCACGUCGCGGACACUAAGUUGUGUCCGGCAGCAGCCAUAACGGCAUCUCACUUACCACGUCACCCAACUCCCCUAUAUUGUCUCCUUAGGAUAGGGCAUUGGACCAAGGGGGCAGACCUUGUCUAGUCUUAACGCUUCUGACGGCGUCCCCUGGCAGCUCCUCCUUGGGCCUAGCUAAUCCAGCCCAUUAGGAGCCUUGGCCGAGCGCUGGGGGCUCAGUAAUAAAAUACACCCUUCAUGGCAAAGGGGCAGGUAUUCUAACUCACACUCUGAUAACCUCAUUCUGUACCUUUUCUGACUUAACAUUGGAGCACCUUGCAGGUAACACCCCCUCUCAUUUCAUUCUCUGGCCCAUUCACCAAGACCUUGGAAGGCCCUCCUGAUCAGGUAAGAUCAGUGGCGCCGUCUGUGGGAACCAGCUAUCCCAUCUUCAUCAAACGAGGAUCAAAAGCUCAUUUAUUUUGUCCUUCCAACAUGGGCCGGAGAACAACAUAGCGAUCACAGCCGUCCCUCGUCAACUACAAUAUGGACGACGGCCCGCCAUCCAUGAAACGGACGCUCGGGACGGUCAUCCAUCCACCCCCGUCCCAGAGCCCCAAAAACAACGGGAUGCUCUCACGCCCACAAUUUAGGGCAGAGACAUUUCAUCCCAUUCCCGCUUCCCUGUUGAAGGAGACGCCGUAAUGAUUGGCCAUGGUGAAAUGCCCUCAAUCAGGCCGGUUCUAUGCUCCACCGCAGCACGAACGAAUCAUGGCCCUCGAAGCCGAACGACAAAGAGCCCCGACCCAGCCGGUGAGUGGAAUACAACAACGUUCGGAAGCCAACGAAGAAGCGAGGAGACGUCGCUCUCCAGACCCCACGUCAGCAGGGCAAGCGCGCCGUCGUGACGGUGGUCAGAGCGGGAACAUCACCAAGGCGCGGACACAGCCCCGACAACAACGAACUGUCCCCGUUAAGGAGGCGACGAGGAAGAUUUGCAUGGCCCCUAUCUCGGGCAAUAAUGGAAGCCCCGCUCCCAAGGCAUGAGAACCACCAAAUCUAUAGCUGUGUAGCGACGGGACUACAGAUCCCGACGAUCACGUCGACAACGUCAACGCGAUGCUCGACUACCGCAAUGAUAUAACCGGGCACCUCAAAUGCGACUGUUCUCGACGGACCCUCAGGAAAGGGGCCAUGACUUGGUACAAAAGCUUGGCCCUGACCAUUACGUCAUGGAGAGUCAUGAGGUCCAUGUUCACCGGGCACUUUACAGCUUCCCGUCGUCACCCCAGACUGAGGGCGACCUUGAAGCCAUAGUGCAGAAGAGAAUGAAAACACUGGCGCUCAUACAUCGAGCGAUUCAACCAGGAAGCUGUCGAGGUAGAUACCACCCGAGCACAUGAGAAGAUAUCUCCUCAGAAGAGGUCUUCUUGCCCGCAGUGAACUGCAAGAGCCGUAGGGAUCGGCCUCCCCACCUUAACAGCUCCUGCAUAAAGCCAGGCCUACAUCAGAUACGAGGAAAAGCAGGUGCACACAAUGCGCCGCACGCGUAACGCUGGGAGACCGAGCACCUCAAACGCCGAGGAACCAGAGCCAUAUUCCCGUCGCAUACGGAGACAGAACGAAGGGAAGAAAGACCUGCGAGCUCCGGGAAGGAAGAGCCCCGCGGGCAGAUAUAGCGAGUACACCUACUAGACAGCUCCUCGAGAGCGUAUCCUCGCAGAAUGUAUCAACUCUGAAAUUUCAAGCAGGCAGGGUCAGGUUCCCAAAACCGUCUGCACCAAAAGCCACACCGACAAUCAAAGUACUGGGCCGUUCCACAGAAGUCACGGGGCACGGACCGAGACUGGCGUCCACUGAAGGAUGCGAUAGAAAUUUUUAAUCCAAGAGGGGCACCUGAAGCAGUUACGAGGAAGAACGAAGCUCCCAGACACGACGAGCCAAGAGAAGAGAGCCCCGGGAAAACACACCCCUGACAACUCUCCUAUCAAGUGGCCUCUGCGUGUCACGACCGGAAGAUUUCUUCCUCCCCGAACCAUUGCCAGAGGCAAGAUCACUGCACUCAGCCCCUGGGAAAACUUCCCUGACCACACUGGUGAUAUCAGGAGGAGGAACUAACGGGGAAUCCGCGGCCCUCUCCGUCAAACGUAAGUUCGACGAACUCCUACUGACUGCCCCCCGAGCAGAAAGCGACAUUGACAAAUACCGGGAAAAUCCAACCAUUAUCCUUCUUCCUGGGAGGAACUCCCGGCGGAUCCCCGAAACUCGGCAUCCCACUAUUGAUAGGGCAAAGAUGGCCCCAAUUCGACGUACGACGCAUCUGGUCGACCAAGGCAGCUCAGUGGAUAUCAUGUACGUCCACCUCUUCAAGACUCUGAAGCUAGACAGGCCAACUUAGCCCCUACGUCGGAUCAGUAUCUCCAAGGAUAUCAACGAGCAACAACCAGACCGUGGGGAUAUGUUGAGCUCCUCGUCACCUUCGCGAACAAGAAACGGCCAGGGAAGUCAACAAUCCAAUUCCUGGUCGUAGACUGUCCGUCUCUCCUACAAUUGCAUCUUUGGACGCCCGACACUGGCCGACUCACCGCGGUCCAUCCACGUCCACGCUAAAGAUGAAAUACUACACCAAAUUGGCGACGUGUGCUCACCAUCCAUGUGACAUCGAAGCAGCCCGGCGAUGCUACGACGCCGCAGUAAAAGGACAGGCCGUAGUCAGCACGAAGAGCAACUGCAACAACAAAAAACUCAGGACCGGGGAUCCUGCCCGGAGGAGUCAACGGCCAUCGACCUCGACUGUCGCAUCGGGCUGGACGAGACCGAAGAGGGAGGUUCCCCAAGGACGCUCUCUCGGACACCGCUCGGUCUGACCAAUCCCGCGGACGGAGAGUUCGAACUCAUUCCUCUUGGGGACGAUCCGGAAAGGACGGUGAAGAUAGGUAAGGGACUACCCGAGGAAACAAGAGAGAGCUAGUAGCAUGCCUCAAAGAGAACUCGACCUCUCGGCGUGAAUGCGCCAGAAAUGCCCAGGGCUGGACCCCGAGAUCGCGUGUCAAAGCUAGCUCUAGACGCGGCGCAGCAAGCCCAUACACAGCGUAACGCAAGCAAUCGCCCGAAAGGCAGAGGCUGCCGAGCGAGCUGUAAAAGACCUCUUAGAGGCAAAUUUUAUUUCUGAAGGCCCAGUACACAACCUGGCUCUCUAAUGUAGUCCUCUGUUUAAGAAAAUAAUGGAAAAUGGCGUAUGUGUGUUGAUUAUACUGAUCUUAAUAGGGCUUGCCGAAAGAUGCUUUCCCCUCCCUAGAUAAUAGACAUGCUCGUUGACAACUCUGCAGGUUUUAACUCUUGUCCUUCAUGGACGCAUGAUAGUGGGAUACAACCAGAUCCCUAUGUCGCCCCACAGACAAGAAACACACAGCGUUCAUGACCCCAACGGGCAAUUACUAUUACAACGUGAUGCCGUUCGGCUCAAGAACGCUGGCGCUUACAUACCAACGCAUGAUGAACAAAGUCUUCAAGGACGAAAUAGGGACAUGCUCGAAGUAUACAUGGACGACAUGAUCGUCAAUCACACGAGGAGAUAACCCAUGCUCGACACCUUGCGAAGGUAUUCGAGCAGCGAGAACAGUGUAAAAUGAGGUUCAACCCGAAAAAUGCACGUUCGGAGUCCGGGCAGGCAAGUUCCUCGGUUUCUAUCUCACCGAAAGAGGAUAGGCGGCCAACCCGACAAUGCCGGGCAUUCUCGGAGGUUGCGACCCGAAAACCAAAAAAUGCGAUCCAGUCACUCAAUGGAGUGCUCGCCUCACUCUCCCGUUUCAUCGCCAGGUCCGCCAGCCGCAUUGCCAUCCAGACUCCUUCGCAAGAGGCUACCUUCGACUGGACCGAUGAAUGCGAGCAAGCGUUACUCCAUCUAAAGAAGGUUCUGUCCCAACCCCGGUCUUAUCACGGCCUCAGAACGAGGAAACCUAUACUUUAUACCUAUCCGUGGCAACCGAGGCCGUCAGCGCCGUUCUAAUAAGAGAAACCGACGAAGGACAAAAGCCCAUCUAUUUUACGAGUAAAGCACUCCAAGGCCCCGAGCUCCGUAUCAGCAAAUCAGAAAGUCGCCCUGGCCCUCAUAACACAGCGAGAGACUACGAUAUUACUUCCUCGCACACACGAUAAAGGUUGAGGACCGACAGCCAAUCAACAGCUGCUCGGGCGCCCGGAUAUGGCCGGGAGGAUGCUCAAAUGGUCACUAGAACUCUCCGAAUCGACAUACAAUACGAAAGUAGGAAAGCCUUGAAAAGCUCAGGCACUGGCCGACUUUCGUCGGCGGAGAUGACCCACUGCCCGACUCCAGCAGAAAGCGCCACAAAUGGACGAUCUUCGUCGAUGGGCCUCUAGCACAUACAGCAGCGGGGGCCGGGAUCAUCCUCGACAAAUGAAGAAGGGAUCCUGAUAGAGGUAUCAUUAGCGCUAGCGUUCCCCAGCAUCAAAACACCAGCCGAAUACGAAGCCUUCGCUCGCAGGCCUGAGGUUAGCGAGGACUGGGAGCAAAAGAGGUAAAAAUAUCCACAGACUCCAGCUCGUGGCCUCACAAGUGGCGAGGAGAAUACCAAACCAAGAACGACAACCUCCUCGAGUACUUGUCCUCGUCAAGAAAACUUGAUAGAUUUGAAAACUGGGAAGUUCAACACAUACCCGCGAGGCACAACACACGGGCAGACGUUCUCUCGAAACUAGCCAGCACGAGGAAAAAAGGGUGGAAUAAAUCAGUAAUCCAAGAAAUUCCCUCUCGCCAGCAUCGACAAACUACCGCUCCACUCGGGUCAACGCUAUUGGAGAUGCCGCUGUUGGAUGACACCCAUCUACAAAUUACCUCACCACGAGGACGAACUCCCGCCGUGACCUGAAAGAGGCGACCACUGUUCAAACGACGACGCAUCGCUCGUACGUACCUCCGAAGGCAACUCUACCGGAGAGGAUUCUCCAUCCCUCUACUCAAAUGCGUCGAGGGAGAGAAAAGUCCCGACAUACUUGGAGAGAUUACAUCCGGGGAAUUUAAACGCACUCAACACCUCGGGCGGACGAUCGCUCGCGACGAAAAGCGCCUCGAGGCGCAGGGUACUACUGGCGACAUGCAAAACGAUUCGAAGAGGCACGUCAAAGAUGUGACAAAUGCCAACGACAUGCGACAUGGCACCUCGCACCCCGCAAACGACCUCAGAAAUCACGUCGUCACCCAUGGCCUCCCGUCCGCGUGGUGGAGGCGUAUUGGGCACAUAAUCGCUCGGACCCUUCGUCACGAUCAUAUCAGAAUAAAAAUACCUCAUCUCGGGGGGUGGAUAGCUUCACCAAAAAUGGAUCGAGCGCGAGGCAUGGUAAAAUAACGCGCAGGAACAAUUCUCCGUCUUCAAACCGCAAACAUCCUCGCUCCGGUUCGGUAUAACGCCAGGCACUUGUCACAGACAACGGGACACAAUUCACGGCACACGGGAGUAUUCCAGGACAUUUUUUUUUUUUUUUCAUCGCCAGCCUGGGCAACCAGACACGCAUUUCACGUCUGUCGAGCAUCCGCAGACGAUACGGGCAAGCAGAGGCGCAACAGGAUAAUCUUACGUGGCCCUAAACGCAGACCUCGGUGAGGCAUAAGAGGGCAUGGGUCGAGGAGCUUACAUAGCGUGCCUUGGGCCUCACGCCGACACCAAUUUCUACCACGGUGAAACCCCGUUCCGACACUUACGGCACCGAGGGCAGUCAUCCCGCGGUGGGAUCUACGCGCGCCAGAGAGGACAGAGAGAGCCCCUAGACGAGGAAAUGACGCAUGAAACGCCUUAGAGCCGAGCUCGCCUUAUGUCGAGAAGGAUACGUUCCGAAGCCAGCUCUCGGGGAAACAGACCUCAAACAUAAAAAUAGCACUACGCCAUGGACGGCGAAAGUCAUUAAAAAGAGAGUCCAGGUCGGCAACCUCUGUGCCUCAGAAGAAACACCAGAAAAAAACCCGAAGAAGAGGGCAAACUGGCGGCCAACUGGUAAGGGCCCUUACCGCGGUCCGCUACCCAACAAACACACAGGCAGCAAACGGGGUCCUCCCUAUCUACCCUAGAAACACCUACAAGGGAGGAAAACCAACUCGCUCUAGACCAUUGGAAGGCAGGGAACAAAACUUAGACCAAAUUAUUUAGCAGGCUAAAAAUAACACCCACAGGCUUAAAUACACCACGGGGAGACGUGGGCCAGGUACGACCACGCUCAUUCGUCCCCAACACGCGCAGGGAGGAACCACGAGACCCCGGGAACGAUACCGGGGUCAACAUAACAACACAACCCAUACGCCCGAACGGUUGGGAAUCUUGAACGCAAGACUCAACGUCGAAGUACCUAGACUGGAGGGCACCCAGCUCGCGGAUGGGAGGGCCCCCCAGCCUCGGACGCAGGGUUUCGCAACAACGACCCGGGCUUCGAUAAACCCACGGGCACAAAGCCCGAGCACUCCGUCGGUUCCUAAACGCGAGGAUGAUUACAAACAGUCGAGCAGAGUACGAUCAUACAAACAAGUAAUCGCAAAACACAAACGAGCACAAUGAGAUAACGAAAAUAUUCAUACAUUAAAAACGAUAAGAGUGGGCCAGAAGCCUAAGUCGCCCCCGAAGGCCAUAUACAACGCGGCCCGAAAGGCCAAAUAUCAUAAGGCAACGCGGCCAUGAUAACUAAAAUCAAAGAAAAGGACAACAUAUAACUAAAGACUCCGCUCGGAGCACCUCUUCAUCCUCUCUUCUUCUUCUCGCCCCCAGCUCCUCCUCUCGCUCAACGGGCAGAUAAAUCUCACCAUCCGGACGCAGCAGUUAUAGGCCGACCCUGCUGUCACCAACGUCAGGGUUCAGAAGCGCCCGAGCUUGCUCGACAGGCAAUUGUCGAAACCUCUUUGUAAGGCAGGCCACGAGGAUUUGGUGCGAGAGUCCGAGAGAUGCCCUUAGCAAAGGCUUCACCGCGCGAACCAAGGGCGCGUUCCUCCUCGGUCUCAUCUGCCAGAAGGACGGACCUUUCCUCAAAGAAGCUCCACCUGAGCCCGUCGGCCGAAGCGUUGUCCUCGUCAGCUUCUGAUGGUCGACACCUGCUCUUUUUUUUUUUUCCCCAAGGGGCUCCGGCCUUAGCAGCCCUUCACUGGUCCCUCUCCUUCUUCCACCUCCUCCAGCUUCUGGCUCAAGCCCUUCCUGCAAGCGCGAUGCUGGCUUCUUUGUAAAGUCCGACAAUCUUUAAGAUAUCUUCCUCUCCGUCGAACCUGCAAAAGGGCAUCCUCCCAUCGCGAGGCAGUGGAAGACCGAAGUGGUCCGGUCAAAAACCAUGGCCGUGGCUCCAUCACCCCGGAUGACAGCAGCAAUAUCGCCUGGCCAGAUUUUUCUCCGGGGAAAAAGGGGGCAGCACCUGGUCCAGAAUUAGCCUUGGCUCAAGGCGCAGGCACAGCAAUCGACUCCUCGGCGCUUUGAAGAACGACCGUAUCCACAUAGCAGGGAGGUAGAAGAUAGCUGCCCGGUCCAUUCGGACUCCUAGCAGACGAGCCUUGGUGAAGGCCCAGCCGACGCUUCCGUUUAUGGGGGGAGAACCGCUGGCGGACGACUCACUAUCAGGAAUGUCGAUGCGGGUUAGAUCGAGGAGCGAGAGGAAGGAAUCAGCUCGCGCGCCUGCGAGGGACCGGCCCGGCAUCCAUGCAGUAAANUCAUUAUCAUUUCACAAACAAAUUAGGUCAAAGCAUGUCAUAUAGAACCUCAAAGAAGUCAACAGAAAGACUCCACUCAAAUCCAAUCACAAACAUUUCAAUAAAUCCUCAAAUAAUUCAUGAUCAAACAUCAUCCAUAACAUGAUAAGCAUUCAAAAUUUCAGCUCAUUUGGAUCAAGGGAAGUAGGUCAAUGAAAAUCAGAAAGUCAAGGCAAGUUCAAGCAAGCUCAUUCAAAGCAUCAAAACAUGCACCAAUUUCAAUUAGUCAUAAAACAGAAACAACAUAUGAUAAAUGAAUGGGACUAAAACCAUGACAAACUUUAAGAUGUCUACAAUUCACAUGUCAAAUUUCAAGUCCAUCCAAUUAAGCAUUAGAAUUUCACAAAUCAAAUGAAAUCAUGUAUCACAAAAGAUCAACAAAUGACCAAUCAGGGGAGAAAAUUCCAAUCAAAGAGGAAAUGCUAUCAAUAAUUCCAUAAAAAUUCACAUGUAUUCUCAACAUCCAUAAGUAACUUCAUGCAAAACUCCUGACCAUUUUGAGUUCAAUAAGCAUGGUAAUUAAAAUCAUGAAGUUGGACAUGAAUGGUGUGACACAAAUUGUCACACCUCUAUUCAAAAAAUUAUAUCUCAUCAACCAGCAAUGAUAAAAUUACAAACUCUAUACCAAAAUCACC
rnacentral:lncRNA from 1 species